rnacentral:lncRNA from 1 species
CAACAUCAAGUUACUAACUAUGUGAAUGCUUGGAAAACUAAAAGUUACAGCUCCCUUCCCCAAUCCCGACGCACCUAAUCAAAGGUGGAUGUAGCUAAUAUUCAACUGUUCAACAUAUCCAAUAUUUUAUGUACCAAACCGAUAAUUGCAAGAGUAAAUUGUGUCUAGUGCAUAAUAUACAAACUUAGAAGGUUGAACCCAUCAAAGUUCAAAUGGUGGAUCAACCUCUGCCCCAAUUACCCAAAUGAGAAAAACUGCCCUAAAUGGUACAAACACAGCAAAAUUGAUAGGACAAAUAAACGAAAAAAGUAGCAAUGAGAUAGAUGGAUCAAGUUCAUCCAAGGAAGACGUACCGGGAUUUAGGGAAGUAACGUUGGGUGAAUUAUCCAUGAUUGUCAACUCCAGUUAACUGAAUAUUCCCAGGGAAACAAAUUAGUACUAUCAAUUUGCAGUUAGUCAGACAAUUGAGACAAACGUUAUACACAUCGAAUAAGUUGAUACACACUGAACAUGGAUAUCACCUAAGACGUCGACGAUGAUGUCACAAUUCUCCCCGCUCUAUUACUCCCACUGGAUAAUGACUGCCCAUUUGCGGGUCAAAUAUAAUUAUUAAUAAUUCUAAAGCAACAUCAUAGAAAAUAAUAUAGAAAUCACACUUUAUAAUUAAAAACUAUAAUGUUUAAUUUUUAUAAAAUUAAACAAUAGCUUUAGUUGUCAUAAUUAACAUUAAAAUAUUAUAUGUUUCAAUGCUUAUUGUCACAUCGGGUUAAGCACAUUCUUUUAAAUUAAAUAACUAAUGGAUUUUUUUUCUGCUUUAUUUGAAAAUUGUACAAGAAGAUAUAUUAAAAGUAUAUGUGUUAAUUUACAAACAAUUUUUAUAGAAUCAUGUGAAGUAAUAAAGAAUAUUUUUCAAUAUGUAAAUUGACUACAUUUAAAAUUGCUUUAUAGGUGUUCACCAAACGGAAUUAUCAUUCUUUACAAAAUGAUAAUGAAUUGAUUUUAUGUAUUCUAUAAGUUAAAAUUAGAAAACAGUAGAUUUUUUUUCAAAUUAAUUUGCAUACCUGAUGAGAAAAUAUACCACCUUAAAGAGGAUCAAAAGAAUUAACAAAAAUUAACAUUAUAUAUACUAUAGCAAUAUAAAUUGAGGUAGUUUUACAUAUUAUAUGAGCCAUUUAAAAUAAUUUUAACAGGUGAUUAGUAAAUAAUUAUAUCUCGAUAAAUUAUAUGUAUUGUAAAUUUUUGUAAUAAUAUGUAUUAUGUAAAAUUUUAAAAUUAUGGAGAAAUUACUGAUUAUGUUGAAUAGAUGAACACCUAUUCAAUAUUUAUGUGUCUUUUUUAUCAUUUACAAUAAUAUAGCAACACUAAUUUUAUGUAAUUAAAUGUGCAAUCAAAAUUUUUUUUUCUUUUUAUUUUUUUAUGGAUCCAUAUGUGAGUAUUUGCACAUCCUCUUACAUCUUAUGUCUCCCUCAAUUUUAAUUUACAUCGUUUAGUUUGAUUAGACAUCAAAUAUAACAAAUAUGAAAAAACUUUUCAAUGUUUUGAAGUUACCCUUAAAAUAAAUAAAUUCUUUAGUAGAAUUUUAUUUUGUGGACUUUUGGUUAAAAUAAAUGAAUUUUAAGUAAAAUUUGAUUUUGUGGAUAUUUUAUCAAAUAAAUGAAAUUCAACAUGAGUAAGGGGUUAGAAAAUAUUUGCUAAAUAAAAAAUAUAUCACUUUUAUGAACCUGACUGAAAGAAAAAAAGUUAAAGUUUGAUGCAUUGUGAGUGUACUAAAUAUUCUAUAUUAUCAUAUAAAUUAAAGAAUUACACCAAAUUUAUAUAAUUAAAAAUUUAGAAAAUAAAUAAAAAUAGAAUCCAAAGUUGUACUCUGACUAACAUAAUUAUUGUUUCCUUUUACAAAGUAAAUCAAAAUCUAUCAUUUUCAUGUUUCUCUCUCAAAAAAAUCAAUAAAAUAAUUCUUCAAACCUUAAAUGAUGCUAGAUUUGCAAGAAAUAAUUUCCAUGUUUAAAAUUCUUCACGCCUUAAAAUGCUACUACUAAAAUUGCAAGAAGUACUAGUUCUUUCAUGCUUCAAAUUAUAGUUUUUUUUCUUUUGGGUGGGGGAGGGGGGUAGGGGUGAUUUGCAACAAAAUUCAAUAUUUGUGAAAUAUUUUCAAACGAAUUUCAAUUUUUCCUUAUCUUUUUCUUAAAAAAUAAAUAGUUUAAAGACAUCCAAAAUUGCAAACAUCACAUAAAAAUCUGCACCAAAAUCUUAUAAUGAAUUGUGUGCCCUUCAAACUCAUUAAGGAAAGAAAAAUGUGGUGUAGACGGAUAACACAAACUUAAUGAAUAUAAUACAGGUGAUUUUAAUCCAAUACUUCGCGCCACCCCAAAAUGGUCCUGUAGUGGGUGAUCUGGAUUAGUUGGGGCUCCAAUGUAGAUAUCAAAGACCGGUAGGAAACCCAAAAAAAUAUAAUACAGUUGAGGCCGUCAAUAUUAAGUCUUUUCUUUUUGAUUGAGGCUGAAUUUUGGACAUUAAUUUAAAGGAAAAAAACAUAAAGUAGCAUACUUAAGUAUUAAAUUACAAAAAAAUAGCAACACUUUUAUCAAAUUACAUUUUGUAGCAUAUGUAUUUAUAUGUAUUUGUAUUUUUGUAGCAACAGUUUGCAAAAAUAUAAAAUACAUAUCGAUCAUAAGGAUAGUAAAAAUCAUAUGUAUUUGUAUUUUUGUAGCAACAGUUCGCAAAAAUACAAAUAGCAACAAUUUGCAAAAUAUAAAAUACAUAUCGAUCAUAAGGACAGUAAAAAUCAUAUAUAUUUGUAUUUUUGUAGCAACAGUUUGCAAAAAUACAAAUAGCAACAGUUUGCAAAAAUAUAAAAUACAUAUCGAUCAUAAGGACAGUAAAAAUCAUAUGUAUUUGUAUUUUUGUAACAACAGUUUGUAAAAAUAUAAAAUACAACUUGCUAUAUUAUGUAAUUAUGAAACUGUUGUUAUGAAACUCAUUAUUAAGGGGAUAAGUAUGCGGGAGAUUCUCAAAUAUAGACCCAAAUUAGGGUGGCUUUCAAAUUUUAGCCCUAAAUAAAAAAGUUUUGUUAAAAUAGCCUUAACUUGUUAAGUCGUAUUUUCUUGAACAAAAAUACCCUCUGCAGAAUAUUUGCCGUUAAACCUCUUUCCUUCAGCCAUUAAACCUUUUUCUUUCUCUAUUUCUUCAAAAUUUCAAAAUCGAUCUCCUGCCAAAAUACUCACUGUUAAAUCUCUUUCUUCCAAAUUUCAGAAUCGUCUUUCAAAUAUUCGGAGAAUCGACUUUACUAGUAAGGGUUCUUCAGGUAUGAAAUUCAUCACCAAAAUUCAUUGUGGUAAUUUUAGCUUAUUGAUGCAUUGUGGUAAUUUUAGCUCGUUAUAUAAUCAGCAUAUUGAUUUGAUUUUGGGGGAGGUAAACGUAAGCUGAAGUUUGGAUAUGUUGUUGUUGUAGUUAGGGGUGGCAAACGGGCGGAUUGGAUUGGAUUUGGACGGGUUAAAUAUGGAUCGAGCAAAAAUGGUUUGGAUUGCAAUCCGUCCAUAUAAAUAUAGGUAAAUAUGGAUUUGGUCAAAUAUGGAUUGGGUAAAAAUGGUUUCAACCCACUUUAACUCCCAAGUCAAAAAUUUAAAACUUCUAUGUCAUAUCAACUUGACUUUUUUUUCAUUUUUUUUUUUUAGUUUUUUCUUUUUAGUUUUUUUUGUCUCUCUUCUAUAUGUAGCCUCUAGUUUUUUUUUUGUCAUUUCAUUUUUCUCUCUCUUCUAUCUCUACCCUCUACCCUUUGUUUCUCUUUCUUUUUCUUUUUUUUCCUUUUCCUUUUUUAGUCUUUUUUUUUAUUAUUUUUUUGUUUUUACUUCUUUCUCAUUUUUUUCUUUUUUGGUUGUAUUUUAUGUUUUAUAUUUUUUUUUAUUCGAAAAACAUGGUUAAGUCGAGUACAAAUUAUGGAUAGGGACUAAAAUAUCGUAACCACUCAGUAUAUUUGUUUUCACAAUCAUCUUUUUUCUUUUUCCUUUUCUCCUUUUUUUCAUUAUUUUUUCUUUUUGAUUUUUUUUAUAUUUUUUUUCUUCAAUUCUUUCUUUACGCUUUUUUUCCUCUUCUAUUUCUAACUUCUACCUCUCUUUCUACUUUUUUUUUUUUUCUAUUUUUGGUUUCCUUUUUUUUUUUUUAUGAAAACAAAAAUACCAUAAGCGCAUAUUGAUUUAUAUUCGCCCAACAUUUAUAAUUCGGGGGCUAUGUGGAUCCUCAGCUAUAUAUAUUUUAGUCUCAAAAAAAUAUAAUUAAUUUAUUUUUUUCAUCCGGUGUCUAGUGCCUGCAUUGGAGCCCUGACUAAUGCGGAUCGGGCGUUGCAGGGCCCAUUAAGGUGGCAACGCUCCCAACGGAGUUUUCUCCAUAACCAGGGUCGUACCCUCGACCUCUGGUUAAGGGUGGAGCAGCCUCAUCCACUGCACCACAACCCAUGUUGAUUUUAAUUCAUAUACUUAUUUGUAUAUAAAUACAAAUGAUAAAUUGCACAUAUUGACAACUAAACAAUUCAAAUACAAAUGAUAAAUUGCACACAUUGACAACUAAACUAUUCAAAUACAAAUAAUAAAUUUCUUUGAAAUAUAUAGUAUGAUACAAAUAAAUUUAAAGUAAAAAAAUCUAAAAUGUAAUGACAAAAAAAAAAAAGAUGAGAAAAAUAAUAUAAAAAAAAAUGACAAAAAAGACGAACCAAGAAUGAAAAAGGGGGAAACGGAAAUACAAAAAAAAAGAAUGCAAAGAAAUAAAAUUGAAAAGAGAUAUGUUCGAGAAGAAAAACAAAAAUUAUUGUAGUUCAUGUGGAUUUANNNNNNNNNNNNNNNNNNNNNNNNNNNNNNNNNNNNNNNNNNNNNNNNNNNNNNNNNNNNNNNNNNNNNNNNNNNNNNNNNNNNNNNNNNNNNNNNNNNNNNNNNNNNNNNNNNNNNNNNNNNNNNNNNNNNNNNNNNNNNNNNNNNNNNNNNNNNNNNNNNNNNNNNNNNNNNNNNNNNNNNNNNNNNNNNNNNNNNNNNNNNNNNNNNNNNNNNNNNNNNNNNNNNNNNNNNNNNNNNNNNNNNNNNNNNNNNNNNNNNNNNNNNNNNNNNNNNNNNNNNNNNNNNNNNNNNAAAAAUAAAAAAAGAGAUGAAAAAAUGAGAAAGAAAAAAAUAAAUUAUAAGGAAUAAGUAAAAAAAUGAAAAAGAAAAAAAGUAAAUUAAAGAAAAAAAGUAAGAAAAAAAGAAGAAGAAGAAGAAGAAGAAGAAGAAGAAAAGAAACUAGAAAACAAAAAAACUGAAACUUUAAGCAUAGGUGGGUGAUCUCUAUGUUUAAAUGGCCCAUAUUUUACCCAUUUUGUCCAUAUUUGUAUGAGUUUUUAAAAUUAGUUGAAGUCCAUAUUUACCAAUUUGAAAUAUGAGUGAUCCAAUUCAUUAAAUAUGGGUUAAAUGGACUAUUUUCACAAAUAUGGGCUGAAAUUUCCACCCCUAGUUGUAGUAAUAUAUUUACCAUUGAGGAAUUGCGUUAAAUAGAUUGUGGGCAGUUUGUAUUUUAAUUGUGUGGAUUUACUGUUCGUUAUAUAAUUGUGUUUUAAUCCAAUGUACCUUUUCUCCCAUUACUUCUUGGAUUUGGGCUACAUCACUCGAAAUUCCAUGCAUAAUUUCACCAGUAUUCAGUUUUGUGUCAAAAAAUUCAAUGUCCUGUCGUAAAACAGCUCUUAGAUACUUAGUUCUUAUUUUGUGAGAUGAUCUUUCUCCGACCAAUCUCCAGCAAGUUGUCUCUGACAUUAUAAGAUGAUAAAGUGUCAACUAUCGUUGCUCUCUUUCAAACGUUAAAUCCAGACUAAGAUGAGGAUAAGAAAUGUCUAAAUUACCUAAGUAUGCUCUGAUCAUGACUAUCACGGAUAGUCCAGUCAUAAGCACACACACCUGAAGAUUGUAUCAACGGUUAGCAGUUACGUCAACUUUAGGAUAGUAGUUCAUGAAUUCAUCUCUUUUUACUGCUCGCGGUAUGAAAGGGUAAGGGGUUACUAACUGAGAGUUUUAGAAGCACACAAUAAAAGUCUAAGUAUAUAUUACCGCCCCCUCAUCCUUUAUUAUCUAGUCUUUGUCUUUGUCCAGAGCAAUUUUAUUUACGAAAUUACCAAAAAGAUAAGAAUACCAAGGAAACGAUCCUCCAUUUAUUAGAGCCCCAAUACAACUCAACAACAGUAGUACAAUAUCCAACUUGAUUGAGUAUUUGAACAAGCUUAGUAAUCCAACUUGCUUAGGAGCUGGCGUGUCAUCUUCUUCAUCAUGUAUUGCGUGGUUCUUGUAAGUAUCAUCGUACAAAUCAUUUCCAUAUAAAUGGAGAUUUGAUUGUCUAGAAUGUUGAACAUGGUGGCUCUGCUCCUCAUAAACAUGAUCAACACAAUCUGAUGUAUCAGUGUUAAAGUUAUGUACCAUCUGAUUGACGUGUCCAUAAUGACCUCUUACGAUGCCAUGAUUAUGUGUAUUUGAUCUGCAACGUUAAUUAAUAUGAUUAGAAAAUCUGUAUACAUGCAAAUUGAUGUUGUGAAACCAAUUUGACCUAUUGUGUUUGCUUAAGAAUAUAUAGUGAAGUAUUCAAAGUUUGCUCUCUAACAUCUGAAGCUUUUCGAUGAGAAGUUAUCACAAUUAAGCAUUUAUCAUAGCGUUUAGAUGCCUUAUGUUUGAGUCUAACUGCACUAAAAUACACGAGGUUUGAAUUACCCUGCUUAUACCCAAAGCCCUGAAUUUUUAUUGUAACAUGCUCUCCUCAAUAUUGCUCCACUUCUCAGUAAUAGUUAAUACAUCAUUCUCUUUCAAGGCCAUACUAUUAGAGUAUUAGUUGAUAAACUAUGUUGUAUCACUUGCAACAUAUCUCUGAAGUAAAAAACCCUCUCAGAAUCACCCCUAUAGUGUGUGUUAUUCAGUAGUUUCAAGUGCGAUUUUAGCAUCUUCAGAUUUUGCCAUACAUUUCAAGUUAUGCCCCAUGGGCAAUAGUUGACACUGUCUUAGUUUGUAAUGAUUUGGCAGAUGGCCUAUAACUCUUGCCCCCAGAGGCAAGACUGAGACAGUUAUGCCCCAUGGACAAAAGUUGACACUGUCAUAGUCUAUAAUGAUUUGAUAGAUGACCUAUAACUCUUACCCUAGAGGCAAGACUUUGACAGAAAUGCCUCAUGGACAAUAGUUGACUAUGCCUUACUCUUUAAUGAUUUUACUUGAUAAAGAUAUGUAUUCUAAAUUAAAUUGUUACUAAUCUUUUUUGUUUCAUUUUUCAUAAGGGUUGUGCUUGGAAUGGAUGAAAACGACAUGAGUAUUGAAAGUAUUGAUAGAAAUAAUGAGUUACAGGUUAUUAAACAAAUAUUGGAGGCUGAAAUAGCUGAGCCAUCCAAGAUUAAGAGGGUACGCCAAAAAAAGAAGAGGAUACUUGAUGUCGAGACUACUCUUUUGAAACACAAUGCCUCUUUGAAUGAGGUAAAAGUCAAGUCGAUCUUUAUUGACAAACAAAAUAUGAUAACGUGCAUGUCAAACAUUGCAAUUACACAUAAUAUCCAAUUUAAGGUUAUUAAAUCAAGCACAACAAGAUAUUCACUGCGAUGUUUGGACGACAACUGUGUGUGACGGUUUCAUGCCUCGAAGAUUCCCAAUUCCUUGCUCUUUCAGGUUACUAUAUAUGAAAAGGCUCACAGUUGCUCGGUUGAUUUCAUAACGUCCGACCAUAGGAAUGCAACAUCAAAGGUCAUUUGUGACUACAUACUAGAGCUUGUGCGUAACUCUAGUAAUGUAAUCACACUCAACUUCGUGGUAGAUGAAAUGAGAAGGAAAUGCAAAAUCAUCAUAUCCUACAACAAAGGAUGACGAGCGAUACAGCAUGCCUAUACGGUGAUAAGAGAAACCGCGGAAGAAAAUUAUAAUAGGUUGCCAUCGUAUCUUCACAUGAUGAAAUAGAACAAUCCAGUCACGUAGACAAACAUAAAGAGAAACGAUGAGAACAGGCACAAAUGCUAUACUGUUGAAAUUGACAACUUUUGCCCAAGAGGCAACAAUUUAUCCUUUAUUUGCACUGAUUAGAUUAUUAACAUAGAUGGAACUCUUGACUCAUGGGCAAGACUUGGUUUAGAAAAUUGUAGAAAUUAAAAACUUUUGCCCAAGAGGCAACAGUUUAUCCUUUAUUUGCACUGAUUAGAUUAUUAACAUAGAUGGAACUCUUGCCUCAUGGGCAAGACUUGGUUUAGAAAAUUGUUGUACAAAUGUUAUCCUGUUGAAGUUGAAAACUUUUGCCCAAGAGGUAAAAGUUUAUUCUUUAAUUGCACUGAUUAGAUUAUUAACAUAGAUGUAACUCUUGUCUCAUGGGCAAGAUUUAGUUUAGAAAAUUGUUGUACUCUGAUUAUAAACAUUAAAUGCAAAUUGUUACUAAUAUUCUUUUGCUCAACACAGGUUUCAAUAUGCAUUUAUUGCUUAUGGCGUUUCUAUCAUUGGAUGGGCCAACUAUAGACCGGUAAUAAUGGUAGAUGCAAUAUUUUUGAAGGCAAAAUAUCGUGGUGUCCUCAUGAUACAGUUUCAAAGGGCGGAAACAACAACAUAUUUCCUUUGGCUUUUGGAAUUGUAGACUUAGAAAAUAAUGAGUCUUAUAACUGGUUCUUCAAUCAGUUAAGACAUGCAAUUGGGGUACGUGAACAAUUGUCUAUUCUAUCAGAUCGUCACCUAGUCAUUUCAAAUGCAAUUGCAAAUAUCUAUCCAGAGUGUCAGCAUGGGAUAUGCAUCUAUCACAUGGAGAAGAAUUUAAGAAAAAGAUACUUCUCAGAUGUGGUUCUAUCACUCUUCUACAACGCAGCAACAAUAUACAAAUGAACUGAAUUUUAUACUUUCAUGGAUGAGAUAGAAAAAGUCAACAAAGUUGUUGUGGAGUACUUGAAAGAAGAAGAACCAGAAAGAUGGGCUCGUUCAUUUCAUACCAACAAAAGAUACAAUAUGCUUACGACUAACAACGUCGAGUCCAUGAAUGCGGUACUAAGAAAAGCCAGGCAACUGCCAAUACUGGGACUGAUCGAUUACAUUCAGAACAAGUUACAAAGUUGAUUUUAUGAAAGAAAAAUGGAAUUGCAAGGCAACUUUCAUGACAUCACACGUUGGGCGAAAGUGGAGGUGACUGACAAGAUUCAAGUCACAUUGAAAUUGAAAGUAAGUAUUGAAAUUGAAAGUAAGUAACUAAAAUUGUAUUUUGAUAAUAGGGAAAUAUACUGUUAUUGUUUUUUUAUUGCAGAUUAUACAUAGCUGGUUUACUGUUAUUUGUGAUUUAUUGCUAGUUUUUUUAUUUCCUUGAGAUUCGCGCGCGAAAUAUGCGUUUUGUUGCUUCUGCUCAUAGCUGCGUGAUAGUUUGUGAUUUGAUGUUGUAUGCUUAAUUAUAGCUGUUUUUUGGUUGCCUCAAGAUUCGUCCGCUAUGUAUGUUUAAUUUCUCUGUAUGGCUGAUUCUACUCAUAUACUAGAUGUUUCAUUAUCAUAGUUGAUUCUACUCCUAGAUUAGAUGCAAUAUCUGUUUUAUCACAGUUUAUUUGUAGUUGAUUCUCCUGCUCAUAUAUUGAAAGCAUCACUAUUGAAUCAACUACUAUUCCUAAGCAAGGUUCUGUCUUUUCCAUAUAAUACAGGGAAUUUGACUUUGAAAGCUCAUUUUUUGGAUGACAGAUCCUUCUCCUGCACUUUUCCUGACCAAGCCAAGCAUCAAAACUCUAACUAUCACCUAUAUUGGACCUUCUCUUCCAUUUUGAAAUAGAACCUUAAUUGUUACUCCUUAUUAUUGGUCACUUAUUAUUUGAUUUUCCAUUAGUUCAAUAUUAGAUUGUGAUUUGAUGUUAUAUGCUUGAUUGUAGCUAUUUUUUGGUUGCCUCAAGAUUCGCCCCCUAUGUAUGGUUGAUUGCUCUGUAUGCUCGAUUCUGCUCGUAUACUAGAUGUUUCACUAGAAGUCAUCAUUUAUUUAUAAUUUUAUUUACAGGUAAACCCCAUUGAUGCAACAAUAUUUGUUGUAAGAGAAGAAGGAGUUGAAUAUAUUAUAGACCUGAAGAGCAGGACUUGUCAAUGCUUGGUAUUUCAAACAGAUGAAAUACCAUCCACCCAUGCAAUUGCAGCGAUAGAGAGUAGACAUAUGAACAAGUCUAGCUAUUGUUCUCAUUGGUUCUCAAGACAGUCUUGGCUACAAACAUACCAGGGAGAAAUUCUACCAGUUGGAAGCACAACAUCAUGGAUUAUCCCCGAUAGCAUGAAGGAUCUGAUCAUAAAUCCCCCAGAUAAGGAUGUUCUGCUUGGGAGAAGACAAACAUCCAGAUAUCCUUGCAGAACAUAAUCUUCAAGAAACAAUUAUAGAUGUUCGAGAUACAAAAGGAUCGGACAUAACAGAUCAAAUUGUCACUAUACUCCUAUCCUUCAUCCAUAUGCAAAAAGAUACAGAAAGAAAAAUAAGAAAACAUGAUUAGUUUUACUUUUUAUCCGAGAAGUUGGAACAAAAUAGUAGUUAUAAUAGGAUUUUUUUUAUCCCUAUUUUAGUUAGUAACAAGUACUUUUGACUUUCAAUCACGAAUGUCUUUUUAUUUAUAUGAAUUUUUAACUCGUGGUGAAGUAUUUAACUCAAUACCUUCUUAUUGAUUGUUUAUAAAAAUUAUUUAGCAUGUUAAAUUUUUGUAUAUAUUAAUGUGUAAAAAUAUAUCAUAUUAAUAGGAUUCGGGGAAGGACUACACCCUCAAGAGAUGUGAUGUGAAUAAUUCCACGGGAUACACUUUAAAAUUUGCCUUGAAGGCAAGAUGCAGAACAAGUUGUGCCCCUUGGGCAAAAGUUGACACUACCUUAUUCUGGAAUGAUUCAGUAGAUGAUCUACAACACUUGACCUAGAGGCAAGACUUAAGCCCCAAAGAAACAAGUUAUGCCCUAUGGGCAAGAGUUGACACUAACUUAGCAUGUAAUAACUUGGUAGAUGAUCUGCAGCUUGUGCCCUAGAGGCAAAAAUUAAUACAACAAACGAACAAGUUAUGUCCCAUGGCCAAGCGUUGAUACUAGAUUAGUGUGUGAUAAUUUGGUGGAUAAUUUAUAAGUCUUGCCCAAGAGGCAAGAUUUUUAGACCCCAAAGGAACAAGUUAUGCCUCAUGGGCAAGAGUUGACACUAGCUUAUUCUGCAAUGAUUCUACAAAUAAUCUACAACACUUGCACUAGAGGCUAGACUUAGCCAUAAAAAACUACAAAAAAAAAAAGCACGGGGAAGUAUUCAAUUGCGAGUAGAAAAUAAAAUGAUACCAAUCAACAAAAUCAAGCAUCUAAACAAAUAAAUAAAAGUGGAGAACCAACUACUGAGGAUGAGGAGAUGACCCUUGGAUUACAAGGUCUAAACUGUUUCUUAUUUUAUGCCAUUUAAUCGAGGACAAAUGUGAUUGAAAAGUUCACAAUGAACAAAAUACUCAUAUAGCAGUCGCACAUAAUUAAUAAUAAGACAGGCCCCAUAGGAACAAGUUAUACCUCAUGGGCAUGAAUUGGCCCUGCCACAUUGUUUACUAAUUUAGAAGAUACUCAAUAACUCUUGCCUCAGGGGCGAGACUUGCCACAAGGGAAGGCAAAAAAUAUUCUUCGAUAAUAAAACAUAAGGUAUAACUACAAAGUUAAAAAUAGCUAAAAAUCCUUCAUUUGCAAUGAGUUUCAAUAACUACAAAACUAAACUACUACUCAUGGUGCGUCCUCUUCCUCUUUUCCUUUUCAAAUAAUCUACCAACUUUUUCUGUAGUGUUGUCUUUUAUACCAGCUUCUAGUUUUCUCUUUCCAUAAUCUCACAACAAAGCUCCAUACCUCAUGCGAACAUUUUGUUCCUGAAUUUCAUUCACCCCCUUGAAAUUUGCAAUGUCGACUCCUCGCCCGUCACAUAGUUUAUGUAAUCCCUGAAUAUGCUCCACAAUAGAAUCACACUUGGAUUCUAAAGACUAUAUAAAAAAAUUAAUAAUGUCAACAACACAAUCAACACAAUUAUUGAUAUAAUGAUGUUAUUUCUAUUGAGUAAUAAAUCUAAUGCGAAAAUUACCAUAAUACGACUCAUAAUCACCUCUAAAGAAGUAUCAAGAUGAGUCUUAAUAGAAGAUGUCACUCUCUGCAUGAAAAUUGCAAAAACAAAAAGAAAAGGAUUACUAAAGUAAGUUAGAAACUCAAUAUUGAAUUAUGAUUUAACAGUAAAAUAAUAAAGUCCACCCAGAUAACAUUUAUGCCGAGAUAACACGGAAAAUUAUUAUAAAGAGUAAUUCUCAUCUGCUUGAGCUAAACUAGAGUUCGAAACCAAAUUUUCUACUAAACCGUCAAUGUACCAGGAAGCAACAGGCUAAAACCUCCAGUUUCAAUAACUAACUAUACUCUCUAAAAGAAUGUGCGAAUAAACAUAUGCAGAACACGCACUGCUCAAAGAAACAAUUUGUGCAGAACUUAGUGGUUACCACCAAACAAAAAUUUGAAAUAAGUGCAGAUGGAGUAGACGAUAAAGAUUGGACCCAAGUUAAGAGUAGGAGAAGAUGCAUUUUUGUUGUACCGGGACAGCAGGACUUCAUGUACAUUGCAUAUAUAAUAACCCAACUCUUCAUUCAAUAUUAGUCAACGAACUAAGGCAGUUUGAGAGAAGUACUGCUUUUUUUUUUUUUAAGUUUAAAUCCAUCACCAAAACCGUUCUAACAUGUGGUAAUGAAAUGUUUGGCGAGACAAAAUGAGUACUUGCAACUUAAUUCAUACUUCAUAUAAACCAAUUAUACAUCUGUUAAGGAAAAAACUUGGCUUGAGUUAAUUGACUCAUGAUAUGUAAACUAGCUUGCAUAAAUGAAGAUGAUUGAAAUUUAGAUCAAACUAUUGCACGAAUUGAUAACAAAAUCAGCUUAUGUACGCUUGAGCUCUACAUCAAGAAAAAGGCGAGUAGAAAAAAUAAAGUCAAAAUCACAAUAGAUGAUUUUACUUACAAGAAUAUACGAAGUUGACCAUACAUUACUUUACUAUUUCAACAUGGUGGUGCCUAAUUCCCAACUCCGCUAUAACAAAAUCCAACAAUUAUUAUGAUGUACUAGGGUAAGAUAUCAAAAAGAACAUGUAUCACUUAUUUAACUCACUAGAAGGACAUGGAUUUGAGACCAACAUUCAAAACUUCCCAAUUCCACAUUACAAAAUAGUGUCUGGUCGAACUUCACAAAAAAUUCAUGACUUUAUUCUUGAAUUUUUUUUAACUAUAUAGGAUGAAGAAACCCCAAUUCUCUUAUUAGUAUACAGAUUGCAAUCCUAAACUCAGCAAAUUCGAACAGCGCCUAAGACAAUACGAAACUACUAUACUUAUACCAAUCUCGACUCCAAUGCACACAAUGGAAAACAUGCUAAAAACCUUUAGCAUUCAAAAAUACUAAAGUUACAAUCUUUGAUAAAGCAAUAGCAAACAUUAUCAAUAAAAAUAUGUUAAAUCCUAGUUCUCUUAUUAGUACAACAACAACAUUCCCGGUGAAAUCCCACAAGAGGGACUGUCGAGGGUAGAGUGUAUGCAGAUCUACUCCCUAUUUAAUAGAGAUAGAGAGGUUGCUUCCAAUCUUAUUAGUACACAUAUUACAAUCCUAAACUCGGCAAAUUCAAACAACACCAACGACAAUACAAAACGGUAGUACUUAUACCAAUCUCGACUCCAAUGCACACAAUGGAAAACAUGCUAAAAACCUUUAGCAUUCAAAAAACCUGUAGUUACAAUCUUUGACAAAGCAAGAGCAAACAUUAUCAAUAGAAAGAUGCUAAACCCCAGUUCUCUUAUUAGUACAACAACAACAUUUUCGGUGAAAUUCCACAAGUGGGACUGUCGAGGGUAGAGUGUAGGUAGAUCUAAUCCCUAUUUAAUAGAGAUAGAGAGGUUGUUUCUGAUCUUAUUAGUACAUAGAUUGUAAUCUUAAACUCAGCAAAUUCGAACAGUGCCAAAGACAAUACAAAACUGUAGUAUUUAUACCAAUCUCGGCUCCAAUGCACACAAUAGAAAACAUUUUAAAAACUUUUAGCAUUUAAAAAUCCUAAAGUUACAAUCUAUGACAAAGCAAUGGCAAAAAUUAUCUAUAAAACGCCGCUAAAUCACAGUUCUCUUAUUUUUACAACAACAACACUCCUAGUGAAGUCCCACAAGUAGGUUUGUCGAGGGUGAAGUGUACGUAGAUCUUAUCCCUACCUCAUCGAGAUAGAGAGGUUGUUUCUAAUGCACACAAUUGAAAACAUGCUCACUUCCUUUAGCAUUCUAAAACCCUAAAGUUAAAAUCUUAAAAAAUACAAGACCAAAACUAUGGCAUUUUAAGUAAAGUUAUAAUCUUUAACAAAACAAUAGCAAAAUAAUCAACAAAAACAACUUCCCCACACAACUAAAAGCCAAAAAAAAAAAAAGAUAUGUACAAAAACUUUCUAUUUAGUAACAUCUUCAAGAACCAUGUUAACAUAAACAUCAAAGCCUCUAAGUGUACCAACAAGCUCCUUAUCACCUUUCAUUAUAACCCAAAUCUUUGAACCAAUACAAUGAUCAAAACAAUAAAAAAUUCAUUGUAAUUCCACAAGUGCGGAAAUCAAAACAAAAAUGUGCAUUUCAUCAAAAGAAAUCUAACCAUCAUCUAAGAGACAAAAUAAAGAUAUCCACAUUGCAAAGGCCUAUUACAAGACCCCCAACUUGACACAAUAGAAAUUACAUAGUACUAGUAGAAAUUAUCAAAGAUCUCAAAUCUAGUAACACAAAACUAUUUUGGUUCAAUUGGCGAUAGCGUAUUACAAGAUGGGAAAUCGAACCCUCACCAAGAAGGUGAAAGUUUCGCCAACAACCAACUGAGCUGCUAGGUUUCCUGCUAGCAAAAAAUUCAGGUAAACCAACUAAGCUACUGAGAUUUCCCGAUAGCACAAAGUUCAAAUAGUCAAUCAACCGAACUACUAAGAUUUCUAGAAACAUAAAACUUUUGAUUUCAAUCAAGAUUUACUUUUUCCAUGAAAUCAAGAAUGUGGCAUUAUUCAAAAUUCACCUAGUAACACACAACUAACAAAAUUAAAACUUCUUAACUGUACAACCAUCAAUUUGACAAAUUCCUAAAUAUAACUCCCAAAAAUACAACAAAUUUAUAUUAUGAGUUAAAACCUUAAACGUAAACAACAGAAAGAGAUUUAAAUACCCAAUUCAAUAAUAAAAUGCACAAAAAAGAUUAAAUAAAUGUAAAUGACAAACUGAAUUUAGUAGCAACUUACAUCAACAAUGAUGCCAAUUAAAUCUGAAGACAAAAGUCUCGAAGAUUUGUGCUCUAUUUCUUCACCAGAAGCAACAUCCAUUUUUUUUGUUAAUCGAUUUUGAAAUUUUGAGAAAAAUCGGAUGAAGGGGAAGAGGAGCAACAGAAAGGGUUUUGAAAAUGAGGAAAUAAAAAGAUGAACGAGAAGUAAUAAUUGACGAAAAUUCUUGAAAAAAAAAGAGAAAUUUAAAAAAAUUUAAAUAAAAAUUAAAGAUAAAUAAAUUUUAAAAAGGGGAAAAAUGAAGAAAUAGAUAAUGGUUGAAAAAAAGGAAAAGAGAAAAAAAAUAAAGGUUGAGACAAAUAAAUUAAAAUAUGAAAAUAAAGUUAAAGGAAAAAAUAGAAAUUGAAAAUAAUAAAAAUCACAAUAAUAAAUUUAAAGGAAAAAAAAAAGAGUGAAAAAAAGUAGAAUAAUAAAAAUAAAGGAAAAAUUAAAAACUGAAAAUAACAAAAAAUAAAAUUUGAGAAAUAAAUGAGUAUGGAAAUGUUAAAAUAUAUUUGAGGUGUGGAGGGGCAAAAUGAUACUUUUUAAAAAGUAAGGAAGGCUAUUUUUCAAAGACAUUCUUAUUUGGGUCAAAUAUCUAAAGCCACCCAUAUUUUGGUCUAUGGCAUGCAAUUUCCGGUAAGUAUGUUAUUUUUGAAUUUUACCCUAAUUUAAAACUUACUGUUUCCAACAUAAUUUAAAUUCAUGGAAAAUAAUUUUAUUGAUAAACGCUGUGAGUAUAAAUCUGUUCCUCUCUUGAUUUUCUCUCGUGAUUUUAUUCAUAAUUCAAGGUCUGUCAGUAAGUAUUUCUCAAACGUAGGAUUUGAUAUGGAUUUCUCCGUAAUUCAAGGGCCUUUAGUGGCAUAUUUCUCGAAAGUAAGAAUAUUUGGAUUUGAUCUCCAUGAAAGGACAUUUUGUGGAUUUUCUUGAUGUAUUUGAUUAUCAAUAAGAAAGGGUUUGGAUCUAUAAAUAUCCCAUCGAGGCCUUUCAGUAGCGUAUUUCUCGAAUGUAGGAUUUGAUAUGAAUUUCUCCGUAAUUCGAGAGCCUUUAGUGACGUAUUUCUGAGAGGUUUUAUGGAUUUCAUAUUUGGAUUUGAUCUCCAUGAAAGAGGUUUUGUGGAUCUUCUUUGAUUAUCAAUAACAAAGAGUUUAGAUCUAUAAAUAUCCUAUGAAUUUAUUGGGAUUUUGAAGAUCGUUGAUCUCUUUGUGAAUAUCCCGUGAAUUUGUGGGAUACUGGAGAUGCAUCUUUUUACGAAUACCCAUGAAUUUAUGGGAUAUUCAACUGUUUCAGGGAAUAUGUUACCCUUUAAAUAUGCAGAAUUUAGGGUGUAGGUAGCCAUCAAGCUGGAUUUAGGAUAAAAUAAGUCCAAAAAAUUUUAAUAAAAAUUAAAUUCUUUUUGUAGAAUCCACAAAAUUUCGACUUACAAACUAAAUCUUGUUUUACUGCACAUGUGACAUUUUUUGUAUAGAAGAAUCUUAGAUGAUGUUACGGUGACAUUCACGAGCUGCCCAACUUUGUUUUCAAAAGGAAAAAGUGAUUGUGCUAUUUUUUAUUUACUGAGUUUAUACGUCUCUCUUUUAAUGCUUUCUUUUUUUGUCUGUAUUGUUUCUAUAGAGAAUUUUUUUAGAUACUUGAGAUGAAUUAUAAUACAGUUGCCAACAUUAUCAUCAAAUCUCGUAACCUGCAACAUCAAAAACUAUAUAACAUACAUCACAAAUGGACGAAAAAUCGAAAUUAACAUAAUAAACUGUGAUUUCCAAAUGUCAGUUUCCCAUAAUCUAACAAUCAAAGCUUGUUAAACGGUAACCAAAUAUACUCAUUCCUCGCAGAAUUGUAAGGAACAAAACUGCUCAAGAAUAUAUAUCUAACGGAUUGUUUUAAUGUUAACCCAAGUAUAAGAGACAUUUUUUGUCAUUUUGUCACUCGUACAAUAAGUAUCUAUCACAUUUGGAUCCAUAGAGAAGAAGGGAAAAUGACAUAUAACAAUAAAUCCAAAGUAUCUAUGGUUCAAUGAUUGUGAAUUUGGCUAGAGAAGUUAAUUUCUAGAGAAAAGUUUUACCAUGAAAAUCAGGUCCCAACAAAUCUAAAAGAGGCUGCAUGUGUAUAGACUGGAGACCUAAAUAAAAGACCCACUAUCUAAUAUUGUUUUUUUUUUUUUUAAGUAAAAGCAAAGGGUAUGGGGGACCAAUACAUGAACAUCAAGUACCUACACAUUAGAUCUACAAUAGCAUGGAUCCACUGUAUACCAAUUUCUAGCUGGAACAGAUGGAGACUCCUUAGCUCCUAUUUUCUACUAUUUUUUUUUUCACCUAACAUCAACAUCUAAUAAUUAUGACCAUAGCCCAUUUUCCAGCUAGGAAUUAAUGUUUUAGGAUGCGUUUGGUAUGACGGAAUUUUCCUAGAAAUUAAUUGAUUUUUCUUACUAUGAGAGCAAAGGUCGAAUGGGUGGGGUGGAGUGGGAGCGAGUGCAGGUACGUUGUGUGAAGAGAUAAUCAGUACGUACGUCACUUAUAAAAUUUGUCUUUUCCUAUUCUACUGAAGAAUACCAUUCUUUUUCUAGAGAAGACGCUUUUCAAAAUAUUUUACCAAUCAAAAAUGGAAAAAUCGGAAAACGUUUUACUCUACACCAAACACACCCUUAGUGGCAUUAGAUGUAACCAGGCUGACAGAAAUACAAACAAGAAUGACUGACAGAAUUGCAGUAAUUAAAUUAGGUACUAAGAAUAUUUGUUUUAUAUCGCAUGUUACUAUCUACAUAAGAAAAUUCUAUCUGGAAUUUCUAUUUGCCUCUGAAUGAUUUUUGCUCAUGAAAGUAGCAAAAAAAAACUUCAAGCAAGAGAGUAAUCAAGAAUCUUCAUCCAGACAGUACAGCUAUUUGUUAAAAAGACUUUAGGUAGAGAGAAUGAAAAAAAGAUGAGCAAUUUACAUGUCUACAUCCAAUUCCACCAGCCAAUAUCUUUGAUAUGAUUGCUGAAUCAAGGGGUUGGUGUAGUGCCAACCAGAUGUUACUCAUAUAUUUGGCAUUUAUCUGUUACUAUUAUUAGACUAAGAAGGCCUUACAUGGAGCGACAUGAACAGUGAGCAUUCAUAUUAGCCGACUAUAACUUGCUUGGGAUUGAGCCGGAAUUAUUGUCAGUUUUUGUUGUAUUUGGAUUUUGUUUAGAGGUGGGGUGGAGAAUCAGAAACAAAACUUUAGUUUCAUGGAUACACUUAUCUAAUUGAAGUGCAAAUAAUUGCACUUUGUACACAGUAUAAUGCUCAAAAACUGUAAUGGUGUAAAAAGUGUUGUAUUAUUCUUUCCUCCUAUAAUGAUAUACAAAUGAUUACAGAGUUGCAACAACUGGACACAAUAAGAUUAUCAAUGAAACCAAAAACAAAACAAGACCAAUUUUGACCAAUACAACAAGAACUUUGUCAUCAAGAUGCCUCCAUUCAGCAUUAUGCCAAUCCAUGCCAGAACAAGAUUCAAUUAAUAAAGCCUUCAACCUAUACCUUUUUCUUUCUUUUUCUCGACUCUGAUAAAUACUUUAAUCUCAUGUACAUUGUUCAUAAUCAUACUAUAAUCAAAUCAUUAUUUAUAGUACUAGGACGGUGAUUAGCAUCGAGUAGAUUCUCCAGUGACCUGGCUUUUCUAUUUCGAACCCUACCAGCUUCCUUUAGUAGCUCGGCCAACCUUUUCUUUUCGUCAUCAACAUCUGGAUUUGCUGUCCCUAGCUUUUCCUCUCUCACACCAACAAUGUAUUCCAGUAUUUGAAUAGCUUCAUCCAACCUGCAAAGAGCAUCAAGAUCAUCAUGUAGUUGGAAAAAGAGACGUGCAUUACAGAAUCAUGAUCGAUAACAAAGAACAGACUUUAUGUUGCCAAAUAAAAACUUCUUAGCAGAUGCUUGUUCCUAGCUAAACAAAACCUGCUUGAGUUGAUUGUUGAAAACUAUGAUAAAAAGUUCAUAUGAAUUUCAGAUGAAACAAAAUAAAUCUGCUGUUUUUAUUCUUAAGACUAUAACAAAUAACACUAGGUGUAUAACAAAGUAAAUAUGGUGCUACUACACAAGAAUUGCAAAGUUUGUAGAUACAGCAAUUAGCAUACCUGCCAACAGCGUCAUAUGUGCCAGCAAGGUUGCUGUAUACUCCCAACGUCUCAGGGUGAUAGGGUCCAUAUUCCUGCUCCAGAAUGCCUUUUGCUUCUUCAAACAACUCGACUGCCUCAUUUAUCGCAUAACGCUGUACACAAGCAAGCCCCAUUUGGUUAAGGGCGACCCCAAAGAAGGCUGACUUCUUCUCUCCACUCGCUCUGAGCUUUGAAAUGGCACUUUUAAAGGAGUUGUAAGAUUCAGAAUAUUUUCCUAACAUAUAAUAGAUCACCCCCAUUUGGGCUUCGAUUCCCGCUAUGGUAUUCUGCUGCCCAGGGGCAUUGUUAUAAAUCUUUAGCGCUUUCUGUAGCAACUUGAGUGCCUGAUCAAGCUCAUUCAUCGACUCGUAAAUAGCAGAAACAUCAGUAAGACCAUUAGCAAUCUCCUCUGGAGCAAUCCCAGGCAUGGGCUUCCCAUAUAUUCUGAGGGCAUUCUCACAGUAUGACUUUGAGUCCCUUAGCUUUCCCGUCCUGUUGUACAAGUCAGCCAGACGGACAAAAACAGAAGCCACGGCAGGAUGGUUUUCUCCUUUGCUAGAUUUGAGAGCUGUGAGUGCCUUUUGGUAAGCGAAAAUGGCCUCAUCAUACCUAUUCAGAGACAAAUAUGUGUCUCCAAUGCUACAAUCAACAGAUGCCACCUCGGAUUCCUGCCCAUUGGCUACCAUGGCCAUACUGGCCAGAACAAGAUGCUCGAGAGCAGCCUCAUGGUCUCCCUUAGACUCACAAAUUAGUCCCAUCAGCCUUCUGUCUGCUGCUUCCUCUAGUGAAGGUGGUGAACCAUUCUCUUUAUGUAUGUCAAGAGCCAUCUGACAAAGCUUUUCCGCUUCAUCAAACUGCAAAGCCUGAACAUGAGCCUCAGCAAGAUAUCGACAAGUCUCACCAACUCUGGGAUCACUAUCUCCCAACACUUGUCUUUGGAUUUCCAGACCGGUGGUAUAAGAAACAAUCGAGUUCUCAAGUUGGCCCAACAUUGCAUAAGUAUCGCCCAAUUGCAUAUAACCAGCAAAUUUGGCAAGAGCAUGGUCUUGUCCUUCUUCAACCACCGGAAUUUCCAAUGAGUGCUCUAUCAGUGGAAUGGCAUCAUCAUACUGGCCCAGAUUACAGUAUAUUGCUGCAGUUACAUGCAGACACAUGACCACAUCCAAACUAGGCUUUCCAUUGGCACAUUUCUCAAAUGACUUCGCUGCUCGAUGAGCCAAUUCAAGAGCUUUAUGAGAAUUAUCCCCAGAAGAUAUCAAGUCUCUUGCUUGCUUAAGCAAGAAGGGACCAAGGUCAGGAUUAUCUAAACCCGAAUCAGAUGAGUCCUCAUUUCCAUUCCUCAAUUUUGAUCCCGACGCAGGCGAACUCUUCUGCCUACUCCUUGGGAUACCAGCCACAACUGCCUUCUUAGAAUUAUUUUCAUUUUUCUUAUCAAGGGAUGACCUCCUACCCUUUGGAUUUGAUUUUGUUGGAGUUUCUGAUUCCAGCUCCAACUUAGAGGGCGUCUUGGGUUGCCCUGAAGAAGAGUCCUUCGUACUAGACAAUGGGGAAUUUUCCUUCUUAGAGCCAGAAUCACUACGAGAGUCACCACUCUCUGGCUUCUGCACCUCAUCAUCCUCCUCGAUUAUCUCCACUUCCCUCAUUUCUCCUCCAACAAGAUGCCGUAGCUCGGAGUCAAUCCUGGAUUCAUCACCAUCUGAACCAUAACUAGGCCUAGAUGGAGAUUGGUCAGAGCUCUGCAUCUCACACACAUUCUCAUAAAGCUCCUCAAUAGAAGGCUCAACCACCCCAUCAGCAACAUGCUCCACACCCCCCUUAGGAGACUCAUUCUCUUUACAUGGUGUAGAAUUUCCAUUUUCCUUCAAUUCUUUAAACUCGUCAACUUCAUGAAUUUCAUCCAUAACAACUCCAGGCAUCUUCAAGAAACACACAAAAACAAACAAGCACCACCACCAAUAAAUUAAAUAAAAUUACCUGCAAAUACAAAAUCUUUUUAGACCAAUUUAAAAGCAGAUCCAACCAGACACAUCAUGUUGACCUUUCUUUAAACCUUGACAAAAUUUUGAUCUUUUUGCACCCAAGAGCGUGGCCUAGUGAGAGAACCUGAGGUCCAGGUAUCCCGUGCACGUAAUCGAGGUGCACGAAAGCAGACCCGGACAGCACAGUUCUCGAGAAAAAGAACUGAUCUUUUUAACAGAUCUUAGCAUAUUGCUGCAGCAGAAUCAAGAAUGAACUAAAACAAACCACCUAAAAAGCAAAGGAACCCAAUAGUAAUACUACCAUAUAAAUGAAACAGAAAGUGAACAGAGCACAAGUUGACUAAUAACAGUAACAGAAAAAAAAAGUACAAAAAAUUAAAAACAAGAAAGAGUCGUACCUUACUAGAAAGAACCCAUUAGCAGUAAAGAUGAAGUGGCUGUUCAGAAAGUUAUAUAGACAGAAAAAUACAAAGUGUAAAAAGGAAAAAUAAAAAAUCUAAAUGCUAUUGGUGGGUCUGGUCUGGAAAUAGUGUUAGCUGAGGCCGGAAAAAGAUGGAAUUUUGGAAAUUAAAGAAAAAGAAUGAGGACAUACAUGGAUUAAUAUUAUCUAAGUAGAAAAAAAUGGAGGUUCUAGUGACACCGUUUAACUUUACACAAAAGCUUAAAAAAUAUUUUAAAAAAUUUUUAUGAUCAGAAAUAUUCAUCUAUUUAUUAUUAGUGUCAAAAGACGAAUUAGACAUUUUAAGUAAUAUUAUUUUGUGAUAAUCUGUUUUUUUCUUAAAUAUUAUUUUAUUAUUUCUUGUACUUCUAUUAUAUUUUUUUCUAGGUAACUUUUAUCUUGAUGAGGGUCUAUUGAAGAAGGCAAACACUCUAUUUUUUCUAUAUUUUAUUUUGUGAGAUAAUAUUGAAUAUGUUAUUAUUGUUAUCUGUUUUUAAUAAUAGAAUAACAAUAUUUUUUUUUAAUGCAUUAAAAAGAAAAAUAUGUCAAAUAAAUUGAGCUUUUAAAAAAUACUAAUAAUUAAAUAAACUAAAAGGUCAAUUAAAGUGGCAGAGGUGGAAUGUCAAGAGGAAAAGAGAAGGCGACUUCUCCCCAAACUUUGGCCUACUGUUUCCCAACUAGUCUCUCAUUUGUCUGAGUCUUUGCCACGUGGCUUUUCAAGAAUAUGUGAAAUGAGUAAAUUGACUAAUUUACCCCCCUAAAUUUUCUACAACUAUUAUCCUCUCAUGGUACAAUAUUCAAUUAUUUUGAAAGAUAAUUUGUGUGAAUCUUUUUUGUUUUUUUAAGAAAAAUAAGACGUACUAUUAUUUAUAUGGUUUUUCAAAUUUACCAUUAUUGCUCCAAGCUAGUAAAAUAAUUACUCUCCCAUUUGGAUUUACUUAUCUUAAUUUUACGUCUGUUUUUCUUUCAAAAUUCUCUUUUUUUUGACAUUUUUUUAAUGCUAAUUUCUUAUAAUAACUAUGUCUAAGAUUAUAAAUUGAAGAAUAUUUUGAUACAUUUUAUAUACUAAAAAUUACACAAAUACACAACUUAUGUUUUCAAUAUUACAAAAAAUCUCAACUCCCUAAACAUAUUAUAAAAAUUCAACAUAUACACAGAAUGCUAUGUAUAUGUCGGUUAUGUUAUGUAUAUUAAUAGGAAAAGAAUAAAGUAAUUAAAAAAGUGGGAGAAAGUGUAAUUACUUCCAAAAGAGUUGAUAUUUAUGUUAUUUAUACUUUUAUAUAUAUAUAUAUAUAUAUUUUUACUUUCUUAAACAUUAACAAACAACCAAAUCAAAACAUAAAAAAUUUUAAACAAGAUAUUCAAUAGCCUAUAAAAGGUACUUUAAGUAUUUAUGACGUUAAUUAUUUUUUAUAAAGAAGUCAGUAAGAAAAAAUUACUCCAUAAACGGAUAAUAUAAACUAUCUAUAGUAUCCAAUCUAGAUAGUUGGAACUAGUGUCCUAAAAUAAUACUAUCAGAUACACCUUUUUAUGACACUUUAAAGGAGUAACAAGUAAUUUCCUCGUCUGUGAACAAUUUGUCAGUUUGUUUUUUUCUAUAUAUAUUUUUUUUUUUCCAUUUUUGAGUUAAAAUGUUGCAUGUCAUGAUAAAAUAGAGGAUGAGUAAGUAGGGUUUGAAGUAGCUUCUAAGUUUGUCUUACAUUUGCAUGUCCAUCUUGUCUUCCAAACCUGUUAACCUUCGAUAGUUACUUUCCGGUUUCAAUUUAUUUGUCUGAUUUAAAUUUAAAAUAAAAUUAAAAAUAAAAAAGAAUUUUAAAUCCUGCAAUCUUAGCUAUUUAACAAUGUGAAAUGUUCGAACAAAGAGCGUGAAGGAAAAAGACUUUUUUUAAAAAAUAAACUAAAAACGAAAGUAAGAAAAAUAAAUUAAAACGAAAGGAGUAUGAUUUAUGAAGCACCUCCUCUCAAUUAAAUUUUUGGACAUAUUGAGAAGGUAUUUGGUCAUAGAUUUUCAAAUAUUCUUCUGUUUAUUUGAAAUUUAUAAAAUUAAAGUUGAUGACGACUCAAUUAUGAUUAGUUAUACUUUUUACGAAGGAGAGAAAAGAACACGCCAUUUAAAAGUUAUAAAGAUGUAGUUGAAAAACAUAUUUUAAAUAUUUUUUAAAUUUUGGAAUUCCUUUAUAGCCAACCAAACACAUAUUUUAAAAUGAAAUGAAAAAAUAUUGAGGAAAAAAAUGAGUAAUUGAUCAUGACCAAGCGGUUCAUGAGUUUUUUGGUUAUGUCUUUUCUAAAAGGUGUGUAAAAAAACCUUAAUGUAGAUGCUCCAAUAUGGACCAACUGAAGUAUUAGUUGUAAUGAUAACAUAAAUAAUUAGCACUUAAAUUAAAGAAAGAAAAUAAGAGUGAUCAUUACAAACUUUACAGUGUAAAUUUGUAAUGUUGUUUUGUAACAAACCGUAUUGAAAUUAUUAAAUUCUUUGUUCCCACCUUUGCAGCACUAUAGAACAACUAAUUCAAAACAAUAUAAUUAGUAAUAGAGUACUUUGGAUUAUUUUUCAAUUUCUACUUUGUGUUCCAUGAGCAUUUAGUGGUACGUGUAAUUAACAUUGUGCAGUACUAGUACAUGAUAUCGUGAAAGGAUUAAAGAAAGCAUAUUAUAAUAUUCCUCAAGAGUUGUGAAAUUUUAACACCCCACGGGACCAAUAAUUUUACUAGCUUCGUUUUAAUUUAAUCUGUUCAUCUAAUUUUGAUUUGACGUGAAAUUAAAAAAAAUAAAAAAUUUAAAUCAUGAAUCUUAAACAUAUCACGUGAAAAAAUAAAAUUUAAAAAAAAAAAAAAAACACUUUUAAACAAGAUUAAAAAGAAAAAAAACAAGACCAACAAACUGAAAUAGUGGGGGUAGUAGUUCAUACUAAAACUGAGGCAUAAUUUAUAUAAUUAAAAUAUUAGAUUUAAGCUUCGCUGGAAUAAUAAUAAUUGCUAAAACCGAGUUAAUAUAAUAAAGUGUGAUGAUAAUGGUGGUUAGUGAGUUUAGCUGUACACGAGUUGGAUUGAUAGGCAUCCUAUGAUAAUUUGUACUUUCCCUCUAAUCUAUAAAAUUAUUUUAUUAGUAAUUAUUUACUCUAAAAGGAUGAUUCCUCCAUCUAGUGGAUAUAAAUUAAUAAUGAUGAGAUGUUUUAUGAUUGUAAAGUUCAGUAAGAAAGGGUUGCUUUGUUUUGCUACAUUCCAUUAAUGGCGGUCAAAAGUUGAUCCAUAAGUACAUCCAAUAAUAGUAUUAUUUUCCUUGAAAAUAAGAAGAAUAAAAUAACUUUCUACUAGUUCUGUUAAUUUUUUUUUUUUCCAAUAAGAUAAUAUAUUAAUUAAAAUUGAUACGCAUGCACCAUUAGUAUUUUUGAAGGGAAAUUAACAUAACUAAUAUAAUUAUUUGAAUUUGCUAGUUGUCUUUAACAAUGGAUCAAUGUCUCUAAAAAAUAAUCAGUAUUCAAAAGAAACUAGAUAAGGAGGAGACAAGAAGCCAACUUUUGUUACUAUUAGCUCCUUCUUAAUCCACUCGACCUAAUUUUUUUAGAUUUGAAGUAUUUUAAAAUGUUGAUACACAUUUUAUGUUAAUUUUAUAUUUGGAAAAUAUCAAACCCUAAUGACAAUUCAAGUCUAAUUUAUGGUUUUUGAGCUCAUUUUUCAAAAUAAAAUUUCCAACCAUGUUAUGUAUCCAUUUUCACUAGUUGGGAUUUGGGCCAUGACACUUUCAUUUCCCGUUCAAAAAUAUCUAAUAUUAUUACCUGAACAAUGUUCGGUUACACGUUCUUGCAUGUUUUAAUUAAUUUUCCUAUCAAAAAUGUUGUUAAUGAAUUGGGAGUAUAUUGCUCGAAUUAUUCUAACAUGAAACAUCUGCAUUGCAUUCACUGUCAAAUAAACCCACGUAUAUAUUGACAGUGUGUUAAAAAUAUUAGUAUCAUUUUAUGUUACGUAAAUAUCAAUUGUCAAAUAACUUUUUAUAGCAAAUUGACCUAUGGAAAUAUGAUUUACCGUAUCGUUCAAAUUUGGAUGAACUAGGUUGAGAAUAUAUCAUGACAAGUUAAUUGGUAUUGUGCUUGAGAAAGUUUGAAUUAUGUAUAUCGUCUAAAUUAACUCCCAGGAGAAUUUGUCAAAAUCGUGGUCACUAUUUUUUUCUAUUUGAUAUGCUGAAUGCAGACAUAAUAGAAUAAAUUGAUAUUAAUUUUGUUUAGUGAUUAAAUAAAUUGUAAAAGAGUAUCAAACGAACAAAUGAAAAUUGGAUGUAAUCAAGUUUGACUAGUUAGAUACUUUGUUGACUUGAUUGAUUGCUAGGGCAUCUCCUUAAUUUAGGUGUUUAUUUGGUACUCUUAAUAAAAGAUUUUGAUUUUCAUAUAAUCAGUUUUAUUUAUUAAUUCCAUUCUUGUGUAUAGAUUUAUAUCGUUUAUCUUUAUUUCUUGUUCAUUAAAUUGGGGUUUCAAUCACCACAUUUCGAUAUUGUAUUGUGGGUUACUAGUGUUUGAUAAACUGUGGACAUACUAGCUGAUAAAAGAAAUUAACACUACUCCAUAAAAUAUGUCACGAAUCCUACAAUGUUCUUUGAUUUUUAUUUUUAAAAUAAAGUUGAGUAAAGCCAAAAAUUGUGACAGCUGUGGGAUUUGAACCCACGCCCUUUCGGACCAGAGCCUAAAUCUGGCGCCUUAGACCACUCGGCCAAACUGUCUUCGUUGUAUUAUUAUUUGCUUCACAAAUAUUAUUACAUGUAAUAAUUUAUUCUGAACAUAAUUAUCAACUACCAUAGGUCCCAGGUAUUGGUGGCAAUUUGGCGUUGUAAAGUAGGAUAGUAGGAUGUACAUAUCUAAAAACUACUUAAGAAGUGAUUACAAGCACAAUUAUUUAUCUUUAAAAGUUACUAAUGAAAAUGUUCUAUAAGAUUCUCAAAUAAAUAUUACCAGUUCAAUUCUUUUUGGUUCAAGGGAAUAACAGUGAGAAUCUAUAAAAUCCAUUUUCAAUUUACCAUACGUGGGUAACUAUUAUGAUUAUAAUCAGAAAAACGUUUCGGAAAGAAAGUAUUAAUGCCUGAUAUUUGAGGAUUCAUAUCUGAGUUGGUCACGGUAGUUCAAUUAGAAAGACACUCAACCUUGUUUUAUAACCCAAAAUUCACUCAACUUAAGAGUCGUUCACCACAUUCACGUCGAAAUAGCAUGGUUGACGAUGGAUUUACUAUUAAGUAUCACAACGUUAGAAAAAAAGAACAAAAGCUUGAAAUAAAACUAAGCUUUCACAUUACAAACAGGAUUCGCCUUGUCAAAUCCUGAUCCAAAUUUCAACAAAAACAAAUAGCGAAAUAUCCAAACAGUGUCUUAGUUAAGAACAAUAACAUAGCUACUGAGAAGUGAGGACUAAAAUAAUAUAUUACACUUCACAUUGGGGUCCUGGGGACAAUUUUGGUCACCCAAGAAAAACAUAAUUAGAAACAUGUUCUGGAGUUUCCUAUGCCUCAGCAGAAGCUGAUUUGUUGCACUUAGGCAAGCAUUGUGACAAGGUAAAGUUCAGAGGGGGCUCGUAGGAUUGCAAAAAAUCAGGAUCCUGCUCAAGCGCCUCCGCAUAACUUUCAAGGACAGUUACAAUCUCCUCGAAAUGUGGCCUCUUGUGAGGAUUGUUUGCCCAGCACCGUUUAAUGAGUCUCCGAACUGCUGCUGGACAUUCAGCAGGUAUUGGUGGUCUUGCUUUCUGCAAAAUUCCAAUUAUAAGAAAAUGCCAAAAUUUCUUUCUUACAGAGAGCAAUGCAUGAUACUGCAAAAAAUAUUUACGCAAAGUUAUUUGUUCUAAUGUAACUUCACGCGAAAGAAACAGAUUCCUACGCCAAAUACAGUAUGCAUGCAGAAAAGCUAUAAAUAGGCUUAACUUGGCUGAAACUUAAAAACAAUGAUCUGGAAGUCAAACAAAGGCAUAAAAUUGUAUCACCAUCAACCAGCAAUGCAAAAAUCACAACUUCCAACGUGCAUGAGAACCCCCGUAGGAGGAAGAAGAGCAGAUGUCCUAUGCAUAGGACAGUCAAAAGAUCAUAAUUAAAUAUGCACACUCACUACGUAUUGCAAAAAAUUUGAAGUGCACACAUUUUUUUUUUUAAAAAAGAACACAUUUAAAACAGAAAAGAUUAACUACAAAGAUGGGACACAACAGAUCUUAAAGGAAGGGCAGAGGGGCGGUGUCUGAAAGACCAUUAUAAGGCAACAUGAAAUACCCAGAGAGAGACCGAGCUAGUCACAUAAUGGGGUUGCAGCUUCGUUUAGUAGAGUGCAUUAAGCAGCAGCAGGCAGCAGCAAUGUUGGGAAUACUAACUUAAAAUUUUAAAAUCAUCCAUUUAAGUAGUACAGUCGACAAUUCUACUCCAACAUGAAGCCUCAUACUUCAAAUUUUACUUCGGAGCCCGAAACCCAAGGAAACUGAUGGAUUGGUAGACACAGAAUACAGGUGGAACAAACUUCUCUUAUGUUUCACAGGAGACUACAAUGACUUUUACUUAUACAUUUGUCUUACAAAUUAAUACUUCUUCCGGAUCCUCAAUUUCUCUUUCCUGAAAACAACUCACUCAUGAGCCUCACUGUUCUUAUAGGUAUGAACGAAUAGAAACUUCUGCCACUUGGGAGAGUUUCCUAUGGUAAAACAUGGGAUUUGAAACAAGUUUUUGAGUGAUGUUAAAGCAGACUAUGCUGAUCUGCUCACAAUACCUCAGGGAGAGGAUAGAGAUGUCGCUGAUCAAAAGAGCAAAAAGAAAAAGAAAAAAGAAAAAGAGAAGAAUAAAGCAACAUUAAUAUAGUGCCAACAUAUGAAAUAGCUCAAGUUUUGAUGAAGAGAGGAAUCAAGAGGCUCAUCAAUUCUAAAUGCUAAUCACUUGUCGGAAGCUCCAUUUAAGUUUUACAGCCAAACAUUUCUGGAAGAAAAACAAUAUGAUUCUAACACAAUAAGGAAAGAAGCAAAAGAAAAUAGAUGUGUGUGUGUGUGUGGGGGGGGGGGGAGGCUCAUCAAUUCUAAAUGCUAAUCACUUGUCGGAAGCUCCAUUUAAGUUUUACAGCCAAACAUUUCUGGAAGAAAAACAAUAUGAUUCUAACACAAUAAGGAAAGAAGCAAAAGAAAAUAGAUGUGUGUGUGUGUGUGGGGGGAGGGGGAGGAGUAGAUGCGGUUGGGGGAGGCUUUGGAGGAGGUGGUGAGAGGCGUGCCUAGCUCGGAGAAGAUUGUUGUAGCAGGAGAUUUUAACGGGCACAUCGGGGCGCUACCGGGAGGCUUUGGUGAUGUGCAUGGUGGUUUUGGUUUUGGGGAGAGAAAUGAAGAGGGGGCUACCCUAUUGGAGUUUGCNNNNNNNNNNNNNNNNNNNNNNNNNNNNNNNNNNNNNNNNNNNNNNNNNNNNNNNNNNNNNNNNNNNNNNNNNNNNNNNNNNNNNNNNNNNNNNNNNNNNNNNNNNNNNNNNNNNNNNNNNNNNNNNNNNNNNNNNNNNNNNNNNNNNNNNNNNNNNNNNNNNNNNNNNNNNNNNNNNNNNNNNNNNNNNNNNNNNNNNNNNNNNNNNNNNNNNNNNNNNNNNNNNNNNNNNNNNNNNNNNNNNNNNNNNNNNNNNNNNNNNNNNNNNNNNNNNNNNNNNNNNNNNNNNNNNNNNNNNNNNNNNNNNNNNNNNNNNNNNNNNNNNNNNNNNNNNNNNNNNNNNNNNNNNNNNNNNNNNNNNNNNNNNNNNNNNNNNNNNNNNNNNNNNNNNNNNNNNNNNNNNNNNNNNNNNNNNNNNNNNNNNNNNNNNNNNNNNNNNNNNNNNNNNNNNNNNNNNNNNNNNNNNNNNNNNNNNNNNNNNNNNNNNNNNNNNNNNNNNNNNNNNNNNNNNNNNNNNNNNNNNNNNNNNNNNNNNNNNNNNNNNNNNNNNNNNNNNNNNNNNNNNNNNNNNNNNNNNNNNNNNNNNNNNNNNNNNNNNNNNNNNNNNNNNNNNNNNNNNNNNNNNNNNNNNNNNNNNNNNNNNNNNNNNNNNNNNNNNNNNNNNNNNNNNNNNNNNNNNNNNNNNNNNNNNNNNNNNNNNNNNNNNNNNNNNNNNNNNNNNNNNNNNNNNNNNNNNNNNNNNNNNNNNNNNNNNNNNNNNNNNNNNNNNNNNNNNNNNNNNNNNNNNNNNNNNNNNNNNNNNNNNNNNNNNNNNNNNNNNNNNNNNNNNNNNNNNNNNNNNNNNNNNNNNNNNNNNNNNNNNNNNNNNNNNNNNNNNNNNNNNNNNNNNNNNNNNNNNNNNNNNNNNNNNNNNNNNNNNNNNNNNNNNNNNNNNNNNNNNNNNNNNNNNNNNNNNNNNNNNNNNNNNNNNNNNNNNNNNNNNNNNNNNNNNNNNNNNNNNNNNNNNNNNNNNNNNNNNNNNNNNNNNNNNNNNNNNNNNNNNNNNNNNNNNUGAGUGGAGUACCGCUGGCAUAUAUCAGAGCAAUCAAGGAUAUGUAUGAUGGAGCGAAAACGAAGGUGAGGACGGCGGGAGGGGACUCAGAGCAUUUCACGGUCCGGACAGGGUUGCAUCAGGGAUCUACUCUUAGUCCCUUUUUGUUUGCAGUGGUGAUGGAUGUGUUGACGCGGUGAAUUCAAGGGGAGGUGCCGUGGUGUAUGCAUUUUGCAGACGAUGUAGUUUUGAUAGAUGAGACUCGAGGGGGUGUGAGUGACAAAUUAGAGGUGUGGAGGCAAACCCUUGAGUCUAAAGGGUUCAGGGUGAGCAGAAGCAAGACAGAGUAUGUGGAAUGCAAGUUUAAUGACGUGAGGCGGGAGAAUGAGGUAGUAGUGAAGCUAGAAUCACAGGAGGUAGGUAAGAGGGAGAGUUUCAAGUAUCUCGGGUCCGUGAUCCAGAGUAACGGUGAGAUUGACGAGGACGUCUCGCACCGUAUUGGGGCGGGAUGGAUGAAGUGGAAGCUCGCGUCGGGGGUGCUGUGUGAUAAGAAGGNNNNNNNNNNNNNNNNNNNNNNNNNNNNNNNNNNNNNNNNNNNNNNNNNNNNNNNNNNNNNNNNNNNNNNNNNNNNNNNNNNNNNNNNNNNNNNNNNNNNNNNNNNNNNNNNNNNNNNNNNNNNNNNNNNNNNNNNNNNNNNNNNNNNNNNNNNNNNNNNNNNNNNNNNNNNNNNNNNNNNNNNNNNNNNNNNNNNNNNNNNNNNNNNNNNNNNNNNNNNNNNNNNNNNNNNNNNNNNNNNNNNNNNNNNNNNNNNNNNNNNNNNNNNNNNNNNNNNNNNNNNNNNNNNNNNNNNNNNNNNNNNNNNNNNNNNNNNNNNNNNNNNNNNNNNNNNNNNNNNNNNNNNNNNNNNNNNNNNNNNNNNNNNNNNNNNNNNNNNNNNNNNNNNNNNNNNNNNNNNNNNNNNNNNNNNNNNNNNNNNNNNNNNNNNNNNNNNNNNNNNNNNNNNNNNNNNNNNNNNNNNNNNNNNNNNNNNNNNNNNNNNNNNNNNNNNNNNNNNNNNNNNNNNNGUGAGAGGCUAGCGUUGGAUGGUUUUAAGCGGGGUAGGGGUAGGCCGAAGAAGUACUGGGGUGAGGUGAUUAGGCGAGACAUGGAGCAGUUACAGCUCACCGAGGACAUGACCCUAGAUAGGAAGGUCUAGAGGACGCGAAUCAGGGCAGUGGACUAGGGACAGUCUGAGUCGCUAGUAUAGGGAACUACUUGGUGGGGGUUUAUUCCUGUUAGGAGUCCGUGUCCCAUGUUUUAUUAUGAAGCUGUGUGCUUUCCUUUGUUUUAUAUUACUUAUGGGUGCCGUAUUUAUGUUAUGUAAUCUUGUAACCUUGUGCUGUGCUUUACUAUGUGUUUGUGUGGUACCGCGUGUCUCGAGCCGGGGGUCUAUCGGAAACAGCCUUUCUACUUCUUCAGAGGUAGAGGUAUGGACUGCGUACAUCCUACCCCCCAGACCCCACCAGGUGGGAAUACACUGGGUUUGUUGUUGUUGUUGUUGUUGUCUUAGAUAUUUCACGCUGCAAAAGUUUUUACAUGUAUUUCAAGGGUUAUUUAAUAGAAUAGACAUAGAUUUUCUCAAUCUUUCAAUAUGCAAUGAUAAAUGCAACUCAGCAAUAUCUCUUCCUUUUGUAUCUUAGUUGUCUUUCUCAAUUUAUCUUCCAAGCCAGAAAAGAGAACAUUGACUUACUGAAGUGAGUCUCAUGGUAACCACAAUAUAAAUCUAAACAAAACUUAAACAACUCGGUCGUAGCUGUGGUUUCCUCAUCCCACUUAUCAUUAAAGAAAACCGAAACCACCAAAACAGGAAAACACAUGUAAAGUAAAAUGAUACUCCCUCUAGUCCAUAUUAAGUGAAUUGUUGUGGUACGGCACACCCCUUAAAGGACAUAAAUUAAAGGCUACUUUUCGCUAUUAUCCUUUAGAUUAUUCUCAAACUAUUCACUUAGAAAAUGUGAAGUAGUUAAGAACCUCACUAAAAGGAAGGUUAGAUAUGGAAAAAAGUUCCAAGAAUUCUCUUGAACUUUGAAAAAUACAGUUAUUUUGAACUACGAAAAAAGUCCCAACAAUUCACUUAAUAUGGACUAGUUCGGAAUGAGAACGUCACAUAUAGAGAUUCAGUGGACUUAGUAGAACAAAUCAGAUUCAGAGAUGUAUGAAAUAGUAGGCACUUUUAUCUUGACGAAAAGCACUAUGCGAGCAUUGACAGAGAAUAUACCUUCUGGCAGACUGCAAAUGCCGCCUGCUCUGGUGUCAUGUCAUCAAAUGGUGUUAGUGCAGUCAAAAGUUCCCAUAGGACAAUACCAAAACUAUAGACAUCAACUUUCUUAGUGUGGUUCUUUUCCUUGAUCAUUUCUGGUGCCAUCCACCGGUACGUACCGGUGAACCCCUUUGCACUGCCACAUUGAGAUUCUAAACAUGAUAUCCCGAAAUCUGCAACUUUCACACACAUAUCCUCAUCAAGGAGUAGAUUUUCCGACUUCAGAUCUCUGUGAAGUAUCCCUUCAGCAUGAAGAUACUGCAUCCCAUGUGCAAUGUCAAGGGCCAAUUUCAGAACAAGAUUGAGAGGGACCGAGUACGGCUCCUGCUGAUGGAGGUACUUUCUCAGGGAGCCUCCAGGUACAUAUUCCGUGAUAAUGCAAAACACUGGUGGUUUCUUACAUGCUGCAAUAAACUGCAUUUGGGAGGCAGAAGAAAUGGAACAAGUCAAAACAAGUGGCAACCUCAUGCAUUACCAUGAGACAUUUUCACAGAUGAUAACUAUUUAGUGUUUACUAGCAAUGAUAAACCAAAAUAUGUUAACAAAAUCCAAAAUCAACAGUAUGUUAAGAAAUUCCGAGAGAAGUAUUUCGAAGAUGAUAGCUCAACAUGAAAUUCCAGCAGGUGGCACUAUCAUAUAUGUUGACAAACCAAGAUUUGGGAGCUGAUCUGUAGAUAUCAAGUUUGAUAUAAUGCAAAAGACAAAUGUGUUGAGUUCUAGGUUGCUUUUGAUUCGUCAGAAAACCAUCAGUUCGCUGUCUGUCGGAUCCUCCCAAAGUUAUUUAUUUUUGGAGGAUCUGACAACAUAAGUUCCAAAUGACUGCAACUUGAUCAGCCUAUGGGUAGUCAUGUACUUGGGGUUUUUAUUAAAUAAAAAAAGCGGCAACUGCUUGCAUCUUUUAUGCCAAAUUGCAAACUAUGGUAUUGCAACUACUUUAGGAAACAUGUAUGAAGUAGUAAACAUGGAAUCGCUUGCCAUCUAAUAAAAGAUAUACCAUAAGGAAAUGCCUGUUCUUUUCUUUUCAUAUUUUCCUUUAUGAUUCUGCUAGAAAUAUAUUUCCUAAACUAAGACGACAUCCAAUCGUCGCCUACAUAAAAUAAGACUCUAUCUGUCUAAUAGGACUAUAUCUAUCUCAUUUAGACAUGUGGACCUGCCAAAGAACAUAAAACGGCCAUUUCUUGGCAAAGGAAAUAACGCAAUAAGGUCUUCCAGAUGCCACCUUUAAUUGAAUUUCCAUAUUAGUUCCAGUUUCCAUUCCCCAUUCACCUCCAAGAUUUUGCAAUGGUUGAUGGGUCAGGGCCAACUUCUUCAGCUCCAAACCCUUUCAUGCCACGGAUCGUCAAGGCGCAAUAGGGUGAAUAACUCCCUCGGACUACUACUCAAAUGCAGCUAUGCAAUGAACGGUUUUAUGACAUCUUGAGAUCUCAUUAAAAUCAGGAAGCGGAAGAAGGCCCUUGUCAUCAUCGCAACAACAUAUAUUUAUUACUUUGAGAAUCACCAUAAUGGAACCAGACAGUAGUAGUGCCGUGAUGCAGUCCAUCGUGACACUAUCCCAUGGUCGCUCCGCCACUAGUAAGCUACUAACAGUACCGUGCAAUAUCUGGCCUAGUGCAAACCAUGGCGAACGUGAUCAAACUACCAACUGCAUAAGAAUAAGGAACAUGAGACAUUUCCUUCUUCUUUUCAUCAGUUGAUGGACUUGACUUUUUCUUUAGCCUCCCGGCUUCGAGAAUCGAACUUCUGAAAGCCUGUAACCCACUCGACCUAAGAAUCGAUCUCAAGCUGGAUGAGAAGGGAAAUAAAGACUAGUGAGAAUAGCCGCAAUUCUACUAGGCUUACCCUCGGUCCCUUUGGCAAUGUUAUGAGUUUUCCGGAGGGAGACAUAACAUCUUAAAUGAGUUCAAAUUAAUUAACUACAAUCAGAUUACGAACUUGCAGAACUUAAGAAGGAAAAGUCCCUCCACAAGGAAUGCUAAUACAAUCUCUUCCAUUUAACGAAAGGCUAUCCGAUUCUAAAAAGGCUAUUUGCAAGAACGUACUACUUUUGGACCACAUUUCCCUAUACGUACAUUCUGAAACACUUUUGGACCACAUUUCCCUAUCCUCCCUUUCUUUGUCCAAAAAAUACAAUUAAUUUCACAAACUAAGUAAACAUAGAUCAACAAAAAACCAACAGAAAAAAGGUAAACCUUACUUACAGUGAUGAUAUUUGGAUGCUUUAACCUCAGCAACAAAGCAACCUCAGAAGUAAACUGCUUCUCUAAAAAAGUAGCCAAAUCUCCAUCCUCUUCAGGUUGGCUUAUAAGUUUAAUAGCGACAUCUCUAUGCUUAUAAACCCCCCUGUAAAUCCUACUAUGUCUUCCUGAAGCAAAUUUAUUCCCAAUAUAUAACUGUGACAUAUCAGCACUCCAUUCCUCCUCUCCUUCACCCUUUAUGGCCGCACCUGAUGAUACUAUAUACUUGGACCAUGACGCUGCUCGCUUGUACUCUCCUAACGAAAGCCUCCUCUCUAAUUUCCCGUUAUUCGCUAUUUGCUUAAACCAGUUGAAAUUCUUCAUAGCACUAUACCAUCAAAUUCUCCGCCUCAACAACAACAACAAAAAACUCUAGUAUAUAAAAUCCUCAACUUCAGCUACAUUCCAAAGAAUAGCGUUACAUUUUUAAUAUGUGUCAGAAUUUUUGAGAUUGUACUUAACCAGCUGGUAUGAACUUCAAAGUACAACACUAAGAAGCGUGCAAAUGGGGUUAAUUUUGUGUACUAGAAAAGCAGAGGUGGUGGAGAGAAGAAGAGAGUGGCGGAGCAGCUAAGAGUAACGGCGGAGGUGGCGGUGUAUUUGUCUCUCUAAAAUCUCUCUCUUCAUAGAGAAAAAGCAGUGGGUAGUAGUAGUAUAUAGUAGAAUACAAGAGUAGCAACAUUCAUAACGUGGGAAGAUCCACUUCUGAGGAGACACUACGCCUUCUCGUGACAGCGACUCUUAAUAUUCUUCUUACCCAUUUUGCCCUUUCCUUUUCGCUUUAUACCUUUUCUACCCUUUGAUUGCAAUUCUUCACUUGGUAUAUUUAAGGUUUAGUAUUUUUUUUCUUAAAUUAUGUGUCAAGUCAAAUUCUUUUUAAGAGUACCUUUUAUACCAUUUGUCUUUAUCUACUUCUUUUUAUUUUCUCCUUUUUUUAAAUCACAAUAUGAAUUCACUAAAUUUUUCCUUUGUUCUAAGUAUUUCUUCGUUUUAAAAUAGUUGAUACUUUUUCUAAAAAUAUUUGUUUCAAUUUUAUUGUUUUUUUUAUGAAAUUAUGAGGAUUUUAUUAUAUUUUUUCAAUAUUAUUCUUAUCAUUAAAUAACUAAAUAAAGUAUAUAUAUAUACUUAAAUUUAUAUUUUCAAAACAUGAUUAAUGAGGCUAAUUUGAUAAAAUAAAUCUCUAAUAAAUAUUUUAUAAUUUUUUGUUAUGCGUUUUGUCGUUUAUUCCGUCAUAAUAUUUCUUCCAUUGCGUGAUAGUAUUAUCUUUUUUGCGUGAUGAUAUUAAUCUUAGUAAUAUGUUUUUAAAUAACGGAGAUUUACUAAGAAAAAAAGAUUAAAAAAUGUUUUUAAUUAAAAUUAAAAUUAAAAUAUUUAUACCUUUUAUUCCCUUUUGACAUGAAUAUUUCGAUCAUAACUAAAUGGAUUAUAUAUAUUUUAAAUUAUUAAAAAGUACUAUUUCAAUUUAUAUGAUUCGCUUUAUAUCUCAAGUGAAACUAGCUUUCAAUUUACCAAGAAAGUACUUUUAAGUAAUAGGAGGAGCGGGGGUAAAAUGGUAAAAAAAGGAGAGAAGAAAGGGUUCAGGAUAGCACAGAAGCCGGAGGAAGGGAAGGCGGAUCUCGUUGUACGUACGUUAUAAAAGCAAGUGGGACCCACACCCAGAACCUCUUACAGAGUGGGGUGGGGUGUGUGGGGUACAGUUAUAAGGAGACACCAGUUGUGUCGGACAGUGCCGUAUGCUUUUUCCGUAUACGGUCCACUUUCGCUUCUUCACAUCUCGCUACUCUCACUGUUUUUUAGAAUCACAUGAUUCCUCAAUUCCACCCCCACCCCCACCCUCCUCCUCAAAUUUACUCGUUUGUUCAUGAAAUUAUUUUAAAAAAAAAAUAAAAAAUUAUUGCAUUUUAGUAAAAAUAAGAUGUAUUUGAUCAUAAAAUUUCAAAAUUAUAUUUGAAAAAGUUACUUGUUUUCACUGUUUUUAUUUAUAUUUCUCUCACCAAAUUUCAAAAAUAACUUUAAUUUAUGUUCAUGGCCAAAUAUAAGUCCUACUUCAAUUUUUAAAAAUUAUGAUUUUCAUGAUAAAACGAGGCUUUAAUAUAAUGACUUUAACAUAUCACUCUUAUUAAUGGUUAGAAAAACAAUAAAUGAUAUAGUGACUUUAACAUAUCACCCUUAUUGAUGGUUAUUACUAGUAAUAUUUGUUAAGAAAAAUAAUAAUUGAUAUAAUGACUUUAUCAUAUUAUACUUUUAAUUGAUGUUUAUUAAUAGAUAUUAAAAAAUGAUUUUAAGAAUAAUUAAUUAAUAAUAAAAAUAAAAUAUAAAAAACUAUCUUUUCUUAAUUUAUCAAAAAUAAUAAAUAAAAAUAAAAUUAAAAAAAUAAUGACAAAUAAAUCUGAACAAAAAGAACAAAAUCAUUAUGUCUAAGGACACUUGCAAACGGACCCAUAUAUAUAUAUAUAUAUAUAUAUGGUGUGAGAGAUUUUAGUGAAAGGUGUUAAAUAAGCUAAAUUAGAUUGAGUUUAAGUGAGUUCAAGUGAUUUGACUCAAUAGAUAAAUAGAUCAUUAACCCAUCUAAAGAUUAUUUUGACUGAAAUAAAUUGAGCUGAUAAAGAUUAAUACCCGUUCUAACAUGAUUAGAUAUUAUAUGUUUCCACGGAUUAAUUUCCUACAUCUAAUUCUAGUUAAUAUUACUAAAUUGUUUGAAGUGUGUAUUAAAAUUUUUCGUAAUUAAUAUCACGUUUGCUUACACUUUAAUUGUUAUGUAUAUAAUUUAUCAUAUUAAAUACGAUACAAUAUAAGGUAGUAUUAAAUAUAUUCUUAAUGAUCAGUGUGAGAUCAUUCAAAAACAAACUAUGAACUUAGCUCAAAAUAGAUAAUUCAUAUCGUGUUAAGUCUUUGAGCUGUUUUAGCUCGACUUAUAGUUAUUUAAAAAAAAUAAAAAAUUAGGAGCCAUGAUAAAAAGAUAUCUAUGUUUGAUUUCGGCAUCACUAAUAAUUUCGUAUAUAUGUCAGCUUGAUGACAAGUAGUACUAGUUGAAUAUUCAAAAUGAAACAAGUUUGGAAAAGAAUUAGAAGGCAAGAUUAGCUUAUAAUUAGAUAAUUACUUGAAAUUACAGGAAAAAGAGCAGAUACUUUUUGAACUAUAACUUGCGGAAUUAUAUUAAAAUUUGAGCAUAAGAUGACAUACUUAAUUCAUAGUAAAAAGUAAAACCCAAAAACAUACUGCCACACGAAAUAAUCGACAUUAGUAUAUAAUUAACCAUCUAUAAAUAAUAAUAUAGCCAACACCACCGACAAUGUCAUUAGUUAAAUUUUUACUUAGAACAUUAUUUCGCAUUAUCAAAACAAGAAAAAACAAAAAACGAUUCAUAAUAGCCACUUAAAUCUCCAUAAUGCACAAAUGGAUUCUUUCUGUGCUUUGAAUAAUUUGCUUGUGAAACUUAUCUCCUAUAGUAAAAAGGCACUAAGGAGAUUAAAAUUGAUUUAAUGCCUAAAACAUUCUUGAUUAAGAUUAUUGGCUUGUAGAAAGUUAAGGAGAUUAAAGAAUUUGUCAAGCACUUAUUGAUUGAGUUGUUAUAAUUUAAUUGGUGAUUAGUUUCACGAUUUUGUUUCGUACACUAAACUAAUUACUACGCAGAACAACUUGCUGAAUGUAGGCAUAGACAUUUUUUUUAACAUUGAUAAUUGAUAACAUUGAUCAUUCUCUAUUUUUACGCCUUCUACAAUAUUAUGUUUUUCCUUAAUUUUAUCACACACGUUUAAUUUUUCCGUUAACUUGAACUUUCUAAGAGUUUGCUUAUAUAAGUGAUAGCUGUUGGGUUUUUGUCAUGAUUUUCUUACUAUAUUUAAGUUUUACUUUUUCUUAAAAGGAAAAUAAAAGUUACCAUAAUUACUUUUACUUUUCCUGAAAGAAAAAAUGUAAUUUUUUUUCAUAUGUGACUAACCUCAUAAUUACUUUAACUUUUUCUGAAAAAAAAAAUAUAAUUAUUUUUCAUAUUUGGCUAACCUCUUUCUUAGAGAAAAGGUUUUGGACAUCUAUAAAUAGGAUACUCCGUUCUCAUACCAUAACAUAAUAUCAUCUACAAUGUAGUCUUUAAAGUGUCUGUGUUUAGGGGAGAUUUCUCCCAAUAAAUUUUAGGAUUUUUCAAUUUUAUUUUUAAUAUGUAGGCCGUUUGGUCAAACCAUACCCAAUAAUAUAUUUUUAGUUUAAUUUUUCAUUUAUCGUCUUAUAGUUUGCAAACUAAAAGCUUACGCAUGACACCCUCUCGAUUUCGAACCCACCAACAAGUGGUAUCAGAGCCUAUGGUUCAAUGAUCCGAUGGUUCAGAUUGAGGACAUUUUGAGAACAAAGUUGCAAUAAAUUUGAUGAUAAUGAAGAUAUAUGUCCAAAAGCUACAUGUGAAGAUAAUUUUCAAUUAUAUUUUCAACAAUCCUGCUAACACAUAUUUGAAAAUAAAACUCACUUUUAACCCUGCAAAAGGGCUCCAAUAUUUUUAACCCAAAAAGGGCUAAUAUAUUUUUUAACCCCAAAAGCUCCAUUUUUAAACAUGCCAAACAACAGUGAUAUAUGAAGAAUAUAUAUGAAGAACGAAGAUCAUGCACGAGAAGAAGGAUGAUCAAGAAUAUUUUGAAGAAAAUCAAGCCAAAAAGGGGAGAUUUGUUAGGAAUUUUGCCCUGAUUUUCUUACUAUAUUUACGUUUUUACUUUUUUUUUAGAAGAAAAAUAAAAGUUACCAUAAUUACUUUUACUUUUCCUGAAAGAAAAAAUAUAAUUUUUUUUCAUAUUUGGCUAACCUUUUUUUUUGGAGGAAAGAUUUUGGACAUCUAUAAAUAGAAGACAACCUUCUCAUAAUAUGACAUAAUAACAUCCACAAUGUAGUCUUUAAAGUGUCUUCGUUUAGGGAAAUUUCUCCCAAUAAGUUUUAGGAUUUUUCAAUUUUAUUUUUAAUAUGUAGGCCGUUUGGUCAAACCAUAUCCAAUAAUAUAUUUUUAGUUUAAUUUUUCAUGUGUCGCCUGAUUUAUCGUAUUAUAGUUUGCAAAUUAUGACGCUCUCUCGAUUUCGAAUCCAAUAAUAGUAACUAAAAACAUUAGAAAAAACUUUUUUUAAUUAAUACUAGAACAAAUUGUACUUGCUUCAAGAUUUUACUAGGUUAUAUUUGAUGUUGUAAAUAUAUUUUUCUUUCUUGGUUUAGAUGCCACUUCCACAUAAAGAUAAAGAGGAUCAAUAAUGAUAUAUUUGAUUUGAUUGAAGACCAUUUAUAAAUAACUCAUGAAUAUAGCAAUUUAUAUUUUUAAAUUAUUCAACAGUAUUAUUGUUUACAUAUUAUAUAGUUCAACAUCAUAUAAAGUUUUUCAUCAAUGAUCUGUUGUCCAGCGAAGCUAGACCAAGUGUCAUAUCUGAUUUCCUAAUUCAUGUCCUCAUGAUUAUAUGCAUAAUCAAUAACUAAUUAACUAAUUAAUCCCAUUUAUUAGAGGAAUCGUACGGCCAGAUCCUCUUCAUGGUACUGAUUUCGUACCGUAGAGUUUAAUUUAACUGUCGCUAUUAAAUAAAUUUGGCAUGGGGAUAAGAGUCAUUUGAUACUUAACAAAGAAGGUGGGAUUAAUUAAUUUAAUUAAUGGUUUAGUAUAAAGCAAGUGCUGAUUAAUUAAGAACCCCAGUCCCACACACAUAACAAUUUGCAGAGAAAAAACAGUUGGGACAAGCCAUGUGGGUUGAAUGAAUACGGUAAAGGUACGGCCUGGUGGUUUUGUCUGGUUAUGCAACUGCCACAGGGCUUAAUUAGAAUAUUUAUUUGUCUUGUCUAAUGAAGAUUUGGCUAAUCUUGAUUAGUAUUAUAUCUUGGGGAUAAGUGAUUAGUUACAUAGGGAGUAUAAUGCAUUAAAUUUAUGUGAAAUAAGAGAUCGAUGAAAUAUUGGUGGUUGUGACUAGCUAGUAUAGAGGUAGUCUUUUGAGAUAGGGUGGGGGUUGGCGAUGGCGAGCGAGAUUGGAUUCAUGAUUUAAAUUUUAUAAAUUUGAAGUUUAUGAGUAUAUUUUUAGAAUUGCAAAUUCAAGUAUAAAUUUUUACUAUUUUCAUUAAUUUUUUAUUUAUAAAUUAGUGUUGUGCGUUAAAAAAAUACGUGGGGGUGUUCACGUAGUUCCAAGUUUUUGAAGGUUGCAGCAACAUGGCUUGAUGAUAGUAUGGCCCUCCAUCCUUUUCCUAUUACUAGCCUAGCUUUCACGGUGAUGAAUUUAUGACAUAAAGUUGGUGAUUUCAGUUGGUGCAUGUGAUUUUAUAUUACUAGUAUAUUAUAGUAAAUAUACGUGACUAUAGCCAUGUAAUAUAUAUUGAUAGUUGAAGAAAAUUAGAAAGACAUGAUAAGGUGUAGAAAUGCGUGAGGUUUUCUCAUGAAAAUAACAAAACCUACUCCUAACAAGUCGUUAGAUUGAAAUAGUAUACAUCAUACAUAUGUCCACCACCAACAGAUGCAGUUCGAUUCCCCUCAAACAUCCUUGUCAUUUCGCAGAAUAAAAUGAUCUGUAAUCGAGUUUCGUGCUAUCAUAUCUUUCUUCACGGCAAGUAUUGGAAUUCAUGCGUCUUGAAUGUUGGUGGAGAAGAAAACUCGCUUGAAAAGAAAGAUUCUAUUUGAGUCAAUGAUUCAAGUGAAAAGAGCUAGUACUAUCUAGCUUUAUGAUCAUGCCUAUUGCCAAUAAUAGCUUUGGAGAAACAAGCACUCAAGCUUGUUAUUUUAGCUGAGAAUUAAGAUUAGCUAGGAAGCUAGCUAUACGUAAAGAAAAAAGUAGUCUCAAUUAAUGAUAUGAAAUCUUUGAAAUAAAUCGUAUAAAUUAAGUUUAUUCAAAUCCAACAAGUACUAUCACACUGCUUGAGCUGAUAUAGCCAAACACUGGCGCACAAAAUAGGACAGUAUAUCACAUGCACCGAAACCGUUAGAAAAUUAAUAGCUUACUAUAUUAUAGAAUAUGAAGGGAAAAAUCAUAACUUUUCCGCAGUUAAUUAAAAUCAACCUAACUACUCUUCGAAUAGGUGAAGCAAAAUCAUGAGAGCCACUCAAUUAAAAAUACACGAACCAUCUCACAUUUAUGCAAAGUUUAGGAAAGGAUUAUAUUUAUACCUAAACAGAUGUAAUGAAGAGAGUGUAUAUAUCUUAAUGCGCGUAUUAAUGACUGCUUUCACGACUCAAAUUCUUAACAUCUAAGUCAUACAGAGAUAAUUUUACCGUUGUACCAAGGCUACCUUCAUUCAAUAACACUUGAGCCACUCAGCAAUACUUACAAAUUCCCAAAAAAGUAACGCUGUCCAAACAAGUUUUGCUUAACUGGAAGUUGGUUAAAUACUGUUUUUUCUUCUUGCUCAGUUUUAAUUUUUUUUUCUUUCUGUAGUUUUAAGUGUUCUACUAUUAAUUCAUCCCUAAUUUAUGUUUCAUAAAACUCAAAUUUCACAUCUUUGCUGUGCAAAUGCAAACAGCAAAUCCACUAAAUAUUCAAAGUUGUCCAUAAUUAGCCUCUAACGUGUAUUAUAUUCUAAACCACGAAGCUACUCUUGCUUAACCAAGUUCUAUGAAUAAGGACAUGUCAUAAUUAAGGGGAGAUAUUCUUAGAAAGUAAUUAAGUUGAAAUAAUUGGUUCAUUGAAGUCUCGCUAAGACAUCCAAAAGGAAUUAUGCAGGCGAUAAUGACUUAACAUAGGUUUAGGCUUAACAACUUGGUAUAAUACCAAUAACAUUUGGCAAAUUAAUUAGUAAGCUAAAAAAGAUGAUUAAUUAUAUAAAUACCUACUAAUUAGUUGUUAGGUAGUAGAAUAAUUAAUGUUGUUGUCACUUAUGUAGCUCAAAUAAAUGUGAAUGAUGAAGUAACAUGGCUGACGAUGGACAUCACACGUGUGUUUGUUAUAUUUAUGUUCUUACAAAUAUCGGUUCCUUAAUUAUGUUGUAUUCCUUUAAUGGUUUUUCUUAAUUAAACAUCAUUUCAAAAAUCUUUGAAUUAAAUUAGAUUAAGUACUGCAUCCUUUUAAUAUUUAUUACCGGGAUUUUAUAUUACACAAUACCUUUUAGACAAAUUAACAGCACGACAUAUGUUAGCCAUAUCGAGAAAAAAAAAUGAUUUAAGAAACUUGUCCAAGCGCUUCAUACAGUUGUGAUAUGAUUUUUGAAAUCUACGAGUUGUUACAUAUUAAUAUAAAUUUAUUUACUAGUAUAUCAAUUUAAAGUUAGCGAUAAAAACUUAUAAUCUUCAAAUUAUAGAUUUGCCUCUUUUUAGAAGAAUGAAAUCGACAUUUAAUAUGAGUGACACUAACACUGUUAAAAGUUUGUUUCAUUUCAAACAAGUAGGAGGAUAUCACUGGUAGCCUGCAAAGUUUGUGUGUUUAAUUGCAUUGGCCACGUAGGUGCAAUGAAUUAUUUCAACACUCCCACGAAUUAUUUGUCUACUUGUUUAUUUGACCGAAAUUUAAGAAAUAAAGAAAUUUUUUAAAAAAAUAUUGAUCGUAGUACAUUAAAAGAUGCAUGUAGAAUGUAACAAAAUGUUGUUUCGCGGUUUUAAACAUUUGAAAAAUUAGGAGUCUGUACAAUGUAGAUGUCAACAAGUACAAGACGAUAGAAUACAAUGAAUGAAUCUAAUAAUUGAAUGAAUCCUUAAGACUUGGUUAGUCCUCCUUGCUUACAAGAAUGAAGUACCAUUCCCCUUUAAUUUUACCUCAAUACUUUUGAGUUUUAAUCAUCAGAUCUAGGUAAAAAUAUGAGUUCCAGUUACGUGUUAAAAGCUAACUCCACUAGCUUACCAAACUUUUGCCAAUCACACAGAUGGAAGACCCUUAUUAUAUGUUACAUUGUUACUAACAAAUAUAUAAAUAAAUAUUAGCACCGAAACUACAAAUCACAUCCCAUUCAAUGUCAUUUUGCAUCUAAUAGAGGAUUGACUAAUGUUAUUAAGACUUCAAAAACUGACUACCAAAUCUUAAUUGAAAUGUCCUUUUUGUGUUUCUAAGACGAUACUUUAAUUGAUGAUAAGUAAGAAAUUGGACUGGAAAAGGGCGACAACAUCUGACGAACAUUUCUGCCGAAAAAGAACCCUAGCAAUGGUAACGGGAACCUACAACAACAAUGGACAACAAAUGUAAGUUGAUAUCUCACUGCAUACAGAGAUUGCUUGAGAGAACUGUCUGGUUAAUUCUUCCAUAGAAAACUAUAAUCUACUACCUUUAACAUACACCUAUUGUUGAUGGCACGGGCAAAUACCCAGUAAGACUAUUAAUGUGAAAAGAAAAAAGGAGAGUUGUAUAUCUGCCAUUCCCUAGGGAAAACUUUUUCCCAUAUCUCCAAACUAAUGAUUUUGAAAUAUCUGAAAAAAGGACCGGACACAAAUUCUGCAUUUGUUUCUCGUACAUGUAAGGAACAAAUUGUUUUGAGCACCCAGCUUGAAAAUUGUUGCAAGCACCAAGAUUGAGCUCCCUUGGUACACUAGUUAAAGAAUACUUGAAUUAGAGUUGUGCACUUGGUUUUUUUGGGGUGGGGGGUUGGGGGGUACAGGUCUUCACAGCGAUCAUAAGAAGUAUAGAGGUGUUAAAACAACACAAGUACAUGAUGGCAUCAGUCAGGAGGAAAUGCAAUUUACUAAGAUGCUCUCAUCUUUUGUAACUCAUGGUUUCACAUCCCUCCAGAUUUAUGUACAAGAAGACAAUCUUUACAACCAAGAAACUUCAUUUAAUCGGGGGGAGGGAAGAAAAACCUCGUGUCCCCAGAAUUCCUAGCAAGACGAUACAGCAUUAUGAAUGCAAAUAAGAAUAUUGUUUUUUUAGGGGCAUGAGGGUCGGGGCUUAAGUACAUUUCAUUGUAGACAGAGACAUGAUAUCCAUCCAUAACAAAGACUACUAUGAAUCCAGCUAGUUUGACAUGCAUUACCUAAAGAUUACUGCAUCUAUGCAUCCCAAAAAGAAAAAAGAGCAAAAUUACAAUGCAUGUUGUUUCACAGAUUGGAACAAAGAGCAAAGGAUAUAAGGUCCACACCGUGUAAGUUAUGAUAUCAUAUCAACACAGCUGAAUCCCAAACUAGUAGGGUGAGAUACAUGGAUCUUCAAUAUACAUUCUGUUUUGUUCUUUCCUACUCUCUUUAUUUUUAGGAUGUCUGAGCAAACUACAUGGAUAUUCACUAUUCCACUGGGAACCAACUACCUCUUGCCCAAUACAUGUAUGGGGUAAACUAUCCCCACCAAAGCUUGGGGAGAUUGGGAGAAAUCACCUAGCUUUUUGUCUCCCUUGGGAUUUGAACCCUCUAAAGUAUUCACUGAACUCAUUUGUUCCAAUCUCAAAAAUUUGUCUCUCAAGACAAAAUUAAGGGCUCUCCGACACUGAGGUCGUAUGCAUAUUCUACUCAUCAACAAAUCAUUUGAACCAACUAAAAAGACACCUAAACAUGGACCUAAUAAGUGUAGCAACAUGGCAAAGUCUUAGUCCCAAUUAGUUGAUAUCACUUAAAUGUAUCUUUUACCUUUAGUUGUGUCACGUUCUUUGUUAUAGAUUACAUGAGAUUGUAGUUUGGGACAAUUUCCCCCCAUAUUAGUUUAGGUUUACCUCAUCCACUUUUAACAGUUCCAAUCAUUAUAGUGUCACAAUUACAAACCAAAGGCGCUUGUUGUCUAUGCAUACAUGAUCAAACCAACCUCAUGCAACCUUCUUUUAUUUCAUCCUUUGUAUGUAAUACUAAUAGAGGUCUGCAUAGUACAUGUCUAACAUGACCAAACUAUCUUCAUGCAACCUUCUUUUAUUUCCUCCUCUUUGUGCUACUAGUAAUACAAAUCAGAUGUGAUCAUGUUCAUUUAGUCUAUAAUUACAAAAUAAUACCAAAACAAAAGGCAAAAUGCCCCAAUAUAUAACCAAAAAAAAAAAAAAAGGAAUAUAACUUACCAUCUCCCGCCAGUUGAAUUGGCAAGACUUGUUCUUCCUCUGCAGUAGAAUUGUAACCAAAUGACUUAGCAUUUUAACUCGUAAGUACUUCUUUGGGAAAGAACUACAAACACUAAGCAAUCAAUCGCAUUGAGAUCCAACAAUGAAAAAAAAGGUUAGAGAAGAAACAAGCACCCUACCGGAUAUUAUUGUCACAAUAGUCUUCCAAAUAGAACCCCACCAAAGAUAAACACACCAAACCAUUUGUUGGAAACAAAUCUACAUACAAAGCACAAUAGAAUCAAAUAGUAAGGGUUUAAAAGACUAAACAUUAUCAGUCAUAUGAAUCAACUCAUAGGUGCAUUUGAACUGGUUUGGGUGCUAUAACAGUGUCAUGCUAAGUGUGAAUUGCUUGAGAUACUUGCUAAAACUCACUCUGCCACUGAUGACUAAAUGACUAAUAGUCAGUAUGCCAGGUGUUUCACGUUCAUGGUAGAGGACAAGUAGCAGUAAGCCAGUUAAGUGUAAAUUCAUUCAAUAAAUGAACGUCAUCAUGUCUCUAAUUACUUAUUGAUACAUACUUUCUGUUGCAAUCUGCACGAGAUGAUAGGUCAACAGUCCAAAUUUGCCAAGCCAAUUGGCCAGAAGCAGCUGUCAAAAAGGCGUAGUAUGGCCAUCCUGCUCCAGACAAAGAAGAGAUAAACAAAAUUAAACCAAAAGGAACUAUGGUAAAUAAGUAACAAGAGAAAUGAUUGCCCCAAGUCCAUUGUAGAUAAAAUAAAUUAGACAAGGAAAACAGAUACCAAUAUCAGCAUUAACUCCGGAAAGAGCAAGACUGCUGAUGCAUGCUAAUCCAAACCCACUGAUCCAUUCUUUUGUGGAAUCUCCAAAUCUCAAGGCUGUAGAUUUGACACCCACUUUGAGAUCAUCUUCUUUAUCCUGGAUGAACAGUUAUAACAUAUUGACAAGAUCUGCUUUCACAGAAAUUACAACUAUUUCAUACUAGUUUAAUAGGGAACAGAAAUCCAGACUGGUACAUCAGAUAUAUAAGUAAACAUUCAGAGACAUGUUGACAUGCUAUAACGGCUGCAAUCAUCGCGGUACAUGGCUAAUUAUGAUACUGAGAACCUGAGUCUAAAGGCCUAAUCAACAUGGGUCUUUUUCUUAUUUGAACAUUUUUGUGAAGUCUAUAUUUUAUGGCAACAUCAGGUGUUGAUGUUACUAUUACCUAAUAAUGCAUGGGAUUUUCCAACAAAUAUAAAGCAUAGCCUGAAACCACUAGGAUUUUUCCUAAAUAACACCAUUUUAAGGUACUUAAAGAAAAUACAAACAAGGAAACAACCAAUCCCUCUGCUCCAAUAUAUCAUACACUUUCUCCAUUUGCAACAUAUACAAGCAAUCUACAUUAGUAACAUUUAUUUAUUUUUGAUAGAAGUAAUAAUUUUAUUGAUUCUUUAUUGAUUUGGGACACAUUCACAUACACAAGCAAUCUACCCAAAAUUAGAGAACUUUCACAAGAAAGUGAUUUUGUACAAGACACCCAAUUUCCAACAGUAACAUUAUUCUAUACAAAUCGACAAUUUUCAAGAAUUCAAAUUCAUUUAACUAUUCAUAAUUCAAACUUCGUAGAGAUAUUUCUCUAAGAAAAAUGUAUUUUGAACCAUUGCUUUAAACUUCCUUGCACUAUUAUUAAUAUAAUAUACACGUCAAGUAAUAUAUUCAAGUUCGGUGAAAUGCUGUGCAUAUCACCAGAAAGCAUGUCUUGAAGGUGCAGGUUCCUAUAAUACUACUAGAGUAGAACUUCUUUAAUAUAUUGUUAGCCCAAUAUGUCAUAUUUAUGUUAGUAUUUGUUCUGCUAGUAAGUCUCAAACUCAAUAUAGUAUAAGAGAUGGCAGCUAUUUCGAAUGAUUAAGAUGUACCUGAUGUGCAUAAAUUGUGUCAUAUACAAGAGUCCAAAACACACCAGAGGCAUAUAGCGGAAGCACAACCGAAGGAUCAAUACUUCCUUUGAUAGCAGCCCAACCUAACAAAGCUCCCCAGUUGAAAGUUAGACCAAGAAAGGCUUGAGGCUGCACCAACAGAUAUACAUAUCACCCAUCCCAACCAAACAGUUGGCAAGAGAUGUAGCUGAGAAAGGUUGUAUCCUUUGGAGUUGAGGGCAAGGAGAGCGAGAGAGAGUACAAUCACUGAUUUGAGAGAUGCAGCAUGAAGAUUCGGAUACAUUACCCAAAAUGUAAAUCUCUUCAUGAGGGGGUAUGAGAAGACCAGCAACAGGGACGAAGCUCCCAAAAUGCGACUGCAGGGAAANNNNNNNNNNNNNNNNNNNNNNNNNNNNNNNNNNNNNNNNNNNNNNNNNNNNNNNNNNNNNNNNNNNNNNNNNNNNNNNNNNNNNNNNNNNNNNNNNNNNNNNNNNNNNNNNNNNNNNNNNNNNNNNNNNNNNNNNNNNNNNNNNNNNNNNNNNNNNNNNNNNNNNNNNNNNNNNNNNNNNNNNNNNNNNNNNNNNNNNNNNNNNNNNNNNNNNNNNNNNNNNNNNNNNNNNNNNNNNNNNNNNNNNNNNNNNNNNNNNNNNNNNNNNNNNNNNNNNNNNNNNNNNNNNNNNNNNNNNNNNNNNNNNNNNNNNNNNNNNNNNNNNNNNNNNNNNNNNNNNNNNNNNNNNNNNNNNNNNNNNNNNNNNNNNNNNNNNNNNNNNNNNNNNNNNAAAGAGAGGAAUCACUAAUAAUGUAAAACUGACACAUGAAAAGAAACUUUUCCUUCAUUAAAAUGCAAGAAAAGGAUCAUAGACACUCCCGAAUAUCUAGAUAUUGGUAGAUUUAAAAUAAACCAUUCAUGAAAAUUUAAGCAUAGUACGAGACAAAGUGACAAAUCAUAUGUAAUUCAAAUAGGGAUUCCAAUAAAUGUGCAGUCUUUAGCCCCAUAUGUAAUCCAAAUGGGAACUCCAACAAAACACUGCUCUAGUCCCAUAUGUAAUCCAAAUGAGGAUUCCAACAAAACGCUGUUUUAGCCCCAUAUGUCUGCAACUUGUGAAAAUUACUACACGUCUGAUACCUAGAUUUUACCAGAACAAAACUGUGAUAUCGCUCUCAUUAUGGAUUUAAGUAAAAGUCCAAGUUUGAAGUAAGAGAAUUUAACAAGGAGCAGAAUUAUUCAGGUUGGGAAGGGGAAUUUGGGAAAGUGCCAUAAAUGACAAAGUGGAAAAAGAAGAGAAAUGUCCACAAUCUAUGUGUUCAUUGGAGAUAUUUUCAAUAGAUAAACUGAUCCUUGUUCUAAAGGGGAAAUGGGUUACCGCAUUAACAUUAUCAGAGACAACAAAUAUAUACGACUAGUACUCUUUAAAUUUCAAUAAGCUUUUUUUGACUUGCCUAGCAAAAUGACUAAUGUGAUUAAGAAACAUCUGUCCAGCGAGAUGACAUUCACCAGAUCCAUACAGUAUCAUAAUAUCAAAUACAAUUUUCUGACUUCAUGCUUAUUAAGGAAACUAUGCUAACCUCUCCAUAAACCAGAAGAUGAAAGGAAAUCAUAUAAAUUUCUUCAGUUAGAACAGAUAGCCAUUCCCUAGAUCAGCUAAUCAAAUAGAAUGAACUGAUCAAUCAAUAGAUUAAGCAAAAGCUUUCUCUGUAAGGGGAAAAUCUGAGAAAAAACAAAUUAUGUCUAGAAGGAAAGAAAACAAACCUAUAAUUGUUUAACUGCAAAAGAAUCCCAAGGCCUAGUAGCAAUUGGAACCCAAGAAAAGUGAGCCCCUGAAAGGGUGUCAAGACACCACUAGCGACUGGCCUCGACCUUGUUCUUUCUACCUGCACUGCACGAAAGCUCUCAAAUUCACCAAAAUUAGAAUAAAAGACAAACUUGUUAUGCAAAAUCUAAAAUGUAAACCAGCUUUCGGAAAGUCGGGAGGAAAGGACUACAUUGGGGAUGAGAAUAGUCAGGAAUUAAAUUAAACCAAUAUAAGAUAUCAGUGUCAGCAGUCUAGAACUAUUUAACUAGUAUAAAUUUAGAAAAGAUUAUUGAUGAUAACAACAGCUAGAAAACAAAACAGACAUAAGGUAUUAACUUUAAGUUUCAAUUUUCAAGGGCAUCAAAAAUAAAAUCACAUUGCUCCCCAAUUGUGCAGUAAAGAUCCUAAAAGAAACAAUGAAACUAAUAAAAGCGGCUCCUCUUCCAAUGGAACACCAUAAUACACAGGGAAGCACACCACUUUGCUCUCCAAUUAGUUCUGUCUCUCUCUCGUCCAUGAAUGAGACAGUGCAGAAGGAAUUAGCAUGAGGCAUCAACUUCAUUCAGUAACCAAAAUCCUCAUUCUGACUCUGAGUCCAGCUUUUAACUAAUUAAUCAAAUAUCUAUAGAAAACCACUUGCCUGUACAAACAUUCUAGAUAUCCAUACAGCACAAUCACUCUCUAUUACUUUUUCUUAUUCUUUUAUCCAAGACGGUUGAGUAAAGAGCAAACUUUUCUGACUAUGUGUUGAGAGACGAGUCAUAAUGAGUUGGUGAUUUUCCUUUUUAAUGGAACUAACAAAUACUUAAAGCAAUCACUUGGGGUUUACCACACAAAACUAGCCAACACGAAAAUGGAAGAAGAUAAAGAAAUCACUUCAUCUUUGGGGAUAUAUAAGUAUGUAACUCGACUUAAGGAAAUUUAGAAAAUCCUACUCCCUCUGUUCCAAUUCAUGUGAUGUAGUUUGACCGGACGACUUAAAAGGAAACGUUUCAUUCUUUUUGGGACCGACUAAAAAGGAAAGUGCGUCAUAUAAAUUGGUACAGACACAGUACUAGAACUGAAAGGGAAAGCCGAAUCACCUUAGUAUCAAUAUCUCGAUCAAGAAGAUCGUUAAUUGUACAUCCAGCACCUCGCAAAAGCAAAGCCCCACAACCAAAUAACGUCAUCAUCUUCACAUCAGGUAAGCUCCCAGGCGGAGCAGCCAAAGCAAUCGACCUACAUAUAUAGUAAUAAUGAUAACAAACACAAUGAUUGAAAAAAAAUCAGUAGUACAUGAAAUAGAAGGGAAAUUAGGUAGUUACCACAUGCAAGGCCAAGCGAGUAACCAAGUUCCAAUAGGUUUAUCAAGUCGGGCCAGAUGUGCAUAGGGCCUAACUAUUCGGGGCAAAUAAGUAUCAAUCCAUGAUGGCGACGGCGAGGCCGAAGGCGUUUGUUGCUCGUUCUUCUUAUUUUCUUCUGAAUUAGCUAAAGUUGAAAAGUGAAGAAGUUGCCGGAACCCAGAAAGUUCAAUUUUUGAAGGAUGUGAAGUGUAAAAUGUGAGGGAUUUUCCAGAAGAAGAAAAUUGAAAGAGGUUUAUUGAGGGAGAAUAAGGAACGGUGUGGCUAGGGUUUGUUAGGUCGCCGGAGGGGUAAAGAGCAGCGAUACAGCGCCGACGGUACACGUGGCGAGUUUGAGAAAGCCGGCGAUACAGUGCCAUUUUUUGAGGAAUUGAGAUGGCACAAGGGAGGGAAUUUCAACCAACUCAGACUAAAUAGACGGCGUCCGGUAAUUAUUUGGAAGGGGCGAAAUUCAUAUUUCUUCGUAUAAAAAUAGAGUUUUAAAAAUAAUAGUCCCUUAGUCUCAUUUUAUUCAUCCCAAUUACGAUCUCAUUUUAUUCAUCUCAAUUACAUAUUAAUUAAAAAAAUAAUUAAUAAUUAACUACUUUAUCAUAAUACCUUAUAAUGUUUAUAUUUUAAUUUAGAGAAAAAAUAAUUAAUAUUAAGAAUAUAAAAAAAAUAUUUUGUUAUUAAUAAAAAAUCACAAGUAAAAUAAGAAAUUAAAUUAAAAAAUUUAGAACAAGUAAAAUGGGACGGAAGUAUAUUUUUGUGAAAUAGAAAGUACGACUAGUAAUUAAAAGAUUUGAAUCAUCGGUCGUUAGAUAAAUAGAAGCUCCAUAUAGACUAGUGUCGAUUUUGUGAAACACGAAGAGAAUUUUUAGUUACUUAAGAUUGUUUUCAAUGAUCAAUUUUAUUUCUUAAUUUUUCAUGCAGACCUUAAUUUGUAAGAUUAAUUUGGUAUAUAAAAAUCAUUACACUAGCAAUGUAUAAAAUGCAAUCAAUAAUCCCGAUUAAUAAUUAUUAUGAUUUUAUAAUUGAAUCAGUUCAAUAUUAAUUUUUAUAUCAAUACUAUAGUAAGAUCGUAUUUAAAAUUAUGUGGUAAAAAUCAACCUAUGAAUUGAAUGACACAACGUAUUACGAAUUCAUUCAUUCACUCAAAAAUAAAGAUAUUCUUAGCUUGAUAUCAUUAAUUUUGAUGGAUGAAUAAAGAGAUUUCCUUACAUUGAAACAAGAAGGAUGAAAUAUACAAAUUAUUUUUCACUCGUUUACCGGAACCAAUGGCAAAGGAGGGAAUACUUUCCAGCUAAGUCACAUCAAUUGAUCAGAAUAAUAUUGUGAAAAUGUCGCAUAUUUCGGAUUCACGUGUAUAUUUUAUAAAUCGUAUCCUUUGGAAAUGAUAAAAAAGGAAACAUUAUUCAAUUGGAACCUGAGAAUGCGAUCAUCAAUCUAUAGAUUGUACUAAUUCAUUGAACUAAUCUUGGAUUCGAUGAAAAAAAAAUUGCUAAAUUAUUCUUCAUUAUUUCAUAUGUGAUAAUAGGUCAAACUACAACCAAGAAGAAAGGUUUGUAUCUGUUGGUUCAUAGUAAUGAAAGUGUGUUGAAUGAAAAAUGAAGAAAUCAAAGUGGAGGAGAAAAAAUUGAGUUAACACCAAAAAUGAAAAGUGUACUCAAUUUUGAUAAGUUUACUCUUUCUCCCACAUUGGUGGAAGAAGAGAACUUUUUGGUGUUUAUAUUGUGAAACACUUACUUCACAUGGUAAGUGAGGCAAGCAAAUAGAGAUGCCUCGCGCCAUUGUUGUUGUUGCUUGCUCGGCUUUGAAUUUGGAUUGAUCGAUGAGAUCUUUCUUUUUGGACAAAUUUUAUUUGACGAAAAUAAUCCAGAUUGAAUAGAUUUUUGAAAUAAUGUUUCCUGAACUGAUACAUUGGUUCGAACAGAUGCAACUCUUCAACGAAGUGAUGCACUGUUUCGAACCAGUGCACUGUUCACGAAAUAGUGUACUAUUUCAGAAAAUUACUGCAUUGGUUUAAGUGAAUAGACAUGCAUUUUCAGAAAGAGUCACACACCUCUAAUAUGAACCAAUGCCACCUUUUCAAAGGGCAUCUAGUGGCUAUAUAAAUCUGGUUUCAUCCACAGGUUUAUGUGAUAGAAAAUAUAAAAAUUUUCAGAUUACAAAACAUUCUUCUUGUCUAAAAAAUACUCUUAAGUGUGAUCAUUCAAACCGUGAGUGUGUUCAAAGAAUCCGCCUAUUUAAGGUACCGCUAUAGUCGGAUUGAAAGCCAUUUUAUCCUGGGAGGAAGAUUCCAUAACCUCGGGUAUAGUGAGGGGAAUUAUUCCUUAAGAAAAAUCCGUGAAUUCGAACGACUUGGCCUUAAUCAUUUCCGUUUCAUCUUUAUUUUGUGAAAAAAAUAAAUAUACCUCUUGAAAAGGUCAUUUUAAUCUUGUGUUGAGGGUAUUUGAUACUUCAUUGUGUUCUUGUUCAAACUUGGACUCGAGUUGAAGUUGUUAUUACAAUAUAUAGAUUCUGCAUACCCGAAUAUAUUGUGGAAAUAACAGUAUCUACGUAGUGGGGUGUCUUAAAACUGUAUAUUCUAGGAACAUUACCUAAUCGAGACACAACAACUCAACAAGCAAAUAUCUAUCUGUUUGUUCCUUUCACAACUUUGAACACUGAAUACAAAGAUGUGAUCCGCUUCUCAUUUUCUAUUACUGACGUUAACUAUGAAUCUAAUUUUAGUAAACCCAGAAGAACAUUGAGAAUAUGACCUUCUAGCUAAUCGAUAUUGCGAUCCGGUUCAUUUCUUGGGUUCCCUCGCAUUUUAUACAUACUCCAAGAGAGCACGGCGAACUACAUUUGCACAUCUUAUUUAUCUGUAGUAGGGACGAGAAGUUAUGUAGUUGAAUCUAUUUGCUAUUUUUGUACAGAUUCUCAAGCUAGAAAUAUGAGUUUGAGCAGGGAAUCUCAAAUAUACUGUACGAAUAAGUGGAUACAAACUAAUUGCUGGGUCAUGAGGUAUUUCGGUUGAAGAAGUUGUAACCAGAAAUGAGAGCGCUAAAGGCAAAGGCUACAAAAGCCAGGAAGGACACUCCAAUAGAUGCAGAUGCCAUCUCCGUGAACUCAUCUUUUCCCCAAUUUGAUAUCCAGUCAUAUGCCCUCGUUGCAGCUGAAGAAGAUGCUGACAUAAUCAGAUAAGCCAAUAUCUGCGUACAUGCAUGCAAAAGCAAAAAAAUUAAGAGCAAAUCAUACAUAAAAACCACAGGAACAGACCGAAGCAGAGUUGUGAACAUGGUUAAACAGUUUUCAGAACUACCAUUAUGAACUGAGUAAACAAUUCUUAAGGCUAAGUGCAUAUUUUACUUUUGUAGGAGGGUUAGCACAUGUAUCUCCAUUUUCCUUCAUACAUGUUACCUAGCCAGUUUUUCCAGUAAAUCUAAAAUUGUUCAAAAACAAUACUCAUUCGUCUCUCAAAAAACAAAACAUGCUAAAACAUGCUGCAACCCAACAUAUCCUUACAAGGUUUCUCCUAGUUGGAACAGGAGAGUGCACAAGGUCUUGGUCUUAAGUGUUGAAUGAGGUAGCUUUAUGCCUAAAUGAGGCACUGAAAAUUUUGUCAGAAGUAAGAGCUGAAUGUUAUCUGCUAGUUCCUAAUAUCAGAAGUUUUUCUUCAGCACAAACGACAGACAAGAACUUUGGCGGACAAUCUAUAUGUACUAAGAUGUUCCUAAAACCUGGAAUAUUUGAAAGGAUCAAGGAAUGUCAUACUUCUCUAAACAACCAGUUUAACCUUCAAGUGUGGCAGCAUAGUAACAGCCAGUAUAAAAAAAGUAACAUCCGACCCAAGUAUUAAAACCAAUAUAAAACUAGAAAUAUGUGUUAACCAAGUCGACAAUUUCAAAAAACUUUACUUGCCUGAUCCAUAAAGAAAUCAAAAUGAUAUCGCGUGUAGUGAGAGAGAAAGUGUUUCCGACUUGCCAAAUUGUAAAUUAGAUCAAACAUUUGAAAUCCAGAAUAGGCAAAUCCAAUGGCAUUAACAGCAACGCAAUACCUGUGACAUAAUAUGAAAGGUCUAACCAUCACCAAAAGCCACGGGAAGUAGUUCUAGGAAGACGUUAAACAACAAACAGGCAAUGCCAACUGAAGAGUGAAAGAAAGAACAGCAAACCCCGUGCAUCAUCCACAAGUUUUAUAGUAUAACUUCUUUCGGCAGACAGAAAAACAAGCAAAUUGUCUACCGUUAAAAUCAUCAGCCCCACAAGGUUUAGCAUUUAAUGAUGAAUAAGUUGCUCUCAGCUAGUUCUUAUCAUUGGAAAAAUCAUGUAGUAUUAUGUUACAGGACAAGACAAAAUGUAAUGAAUGGGCCUGAACAAAUAUUGACAAAACAGCUCAAUACAAAAUUAAGAGGUUAUGUUUGGGAUCCGGGUUGACAAAAAGCAACUUGUGAGAGCAAAAUAGGCUAUGAAAAUUAUGUUGAAGCCUUUGCUUUAUGUUGUUUCUCGUCUCCCUUCUAAGUUCUAGUAUCUCAUCCCCUUCUUAUUACAUUCUUACUUUGUCGUUUUCUCCUUAGUUUGUGUUGCUAUUACUUUGUUGUUUGCAUCCUAAUUUGUAAUUUGUGUUCAGUGAUUAUAAGAAUUCGAGUUGUUACACAAAACAUGUCCAAAUAACUAAUGCAGAGUACAGUGGUUCCAUGGAUACUCGCAUGAUAGAAAUCGCUCUAAUUUAUAUUGGAUAUUCGUAUUGGUGAAGCAAAAUUCAAGCGCAGUGGCUCUCUUUUGAAAAAAUGCAAAAAAUAUACUCCCUCCGUUUAAAAAAGAAUGACCUACUUUAUUUUUUAAUCCGUUUCAAAAAGAAUGACCCUUCCUUUUUUUGCAAUACUUUAAUUUCAACUUUCCACAUGGCAUGUUUAGGACCACAAGAUUAAAGGACAUUUUGGUAUAUUUGACACAACUUUAAUUUAAGGCCACAAGAUUCAAAAGUAAUCUUUAUUUUCUUAAACUUUGUGUCAAGUUAAAGUAAAUCAUUCCUUUUUAAAAGGAGGAAGUAGUAAUAAAUCAGCCGGCCAAGGAUUUAAUUUGAUAAAAGUAAACCUGAACUCACUACACUUUCUUCUGUUUCAGAACUAAUGAAAUGCAUUGUAAUACAAUGCUAUUGCCUCUUGCUUCAUCCACUAAUAAAUUGGAGAACGAUAAAAACGACAUAUGCAUCCUGUAAUGGCCCUGACCCUCUCCCUAUCAACUUGCACUUUUGGUACAAAAAAAAAGCAGCUGAAGUCUGAAGUCCAUGAAUUGAAGUUAAGUUAUAACUACUUUUUUUCUUAUUAAAAAAAAAGUACUCCUGCGUACUAAAGCUUCCAGUAUGCGCGGAAUUCGGAACCGGACUACAAGAUUCUAUUGUACACAGUCUUACUACCCUGCAAGGUUUGUUUCCACUUCCUGAACCCGUUACCCCAAGGCUCCCCCCCUUCUAUAGCUGCAGCUACUAAAUAGCCAUUGGGAUGAAAUUCUAGUCCACAAGAUUCAUUGAGUGAUCAAUAUUGAAAUCAGUAAAAUAAUUAGAACUACAGAAAGUAGAAUUGAUGGAAAAUUGAAAAACCUGUACUCCUUGUAUCGAUCAAAAGAGUCACCACUCCAACCUUCAGUUUUAUCAGAAGCCAUAACCGAAAACGAAAUCAAGCACAAAACAAACUCACAAACUCUAAACCCUAACGCCACCUUCAAUCCGCUCUUCGUACUCCCCGCCCCCUCUCCUCCCUCCCUUCCUACCUCUCCUCCACCUUCCACGUCACCGCCACCACCAGAAACCGGCCCCACUUUCGUACGAUCCUUAUUCCGCGGCGAAGAAUUCCGAUCCCUGUUUCCGACUUCCGACGUCGGAGGUAAGCUUAAAUUCUCCCAUGAAGGCUUACGCGGCGAUCGGAGAGGGGAGUAGUACUUUUCUACUGAAACGAGGGCUCUUGAGGAAAGGGAUUUGUUAGGGUCAUCGGAGCGUAAGGGUGAGUCGGAACGGAGAGGGGAGUGGAAGGAGUCAGUGUCGGAGAUUACUGAUAUGUUGCUGUUGUUCUGUUUGUGUAAAUUCCGGUGGUUAUUGUUGUGAUUGGAAUUGGAGUUGGAGUUGGAGUUGGAGUUGGAGUUGAAAGUUGAAUUUGAUUUCUCCAUUUUUCUUUUUUUGAGUUUCCUUUCCCCGGGAAAAGUUUGGGGGUUUAUUGAGAGGAGAAAAAAAGGUGGGAAGAUAAUGGAAGUGCUUUUAGCGCGGUUACUUUUGAAAAAGUUUAUUUCUUUCCAUUGUUCUGCCCACUCCAACUCUCUUGUUUGCUAUUGACUAACACUUGUAAAUCAAACAACAAAUAAUUUUUUAUUAUAUUACUUUUUUAAUAUAAUGAAUCUGCUGAUUUAUAAAUAGUAUUCCCUUCAUCUUUUUUACGUGCCACCCUUUUUUUUUUUUUUUUUUGUGUCAAAAUGAAUAUUACUUUAUUAUAAUUAAAGACAUUUUAGCUUUUAAUUUUUUUUUACGUCCUUUUCUUUUUAAAUAUGAAAUUGAGUCAAAGAAUGCCACAUAAAAUUCAACGAAAAGAGUAUUUACUAGUAAAGGUAAAUAGGAUACAACCAGAUGUUAUAUGUUAAAAAUUUGCUGAGGUGGCUAGCAAUGAUCAGCGUGUAAAACUAGCCAUGGUCUGUAUGAAUAUAUCUGACAAGUGAUCAAUAUACAGUCGUAAAUUACAUAUAACAAUAAUAACAUAUCUAAUAUAAUUUCACAUGAUCAUAUAUUCGAUAAGCUAAGACAGAUAGUACCUGAAAUUAGUAGUAAGGUCCUUAAAACGACAUAAAAUUCAUGAUCAGCUAUUUCAUUUUGCUUUUAGCAAGUGUUGCGAAUGCUUUGGUUAAAUCACAAUGCCGUUUGAUUGCAACUCAUAUUAACUCUAACCAAAUAGUCUGUCUAUCCAAUCAUUUAACUAAAAAUGAAUAGUUUAAUCUAAUCGACUAUUUGGUCAUAUAUACUUGGUUGAAGUAUAACCAUGGAAUUUUAGUUUUAUUAUUUGAUCAUGAUUUGGAAAAUUAGGACAAUAUAGUUCUAUUUGAUUGCUAGCAGUGAUAUGUAUCUUGGAACAACAAAUUAAGCAGCUAAUCAUAUUUUUCUAAGGAGCACGUGUGGUAAAGCUGUAUUACAUAAAGAAAACUACUUGGUUAAGAAACAAAGAUCCCACUUUGUUUACUAGAGCAAAAGAGAUGGAGGAUAGUGGUGAGUAGGUAUAUUUUGCCUCAUUAAGUAUAAAGUGAGAGGCUUUACUUUAUAGUAGUACUAUUUAUAUAAUGUCCAAACCUCUAAUCUUUUUUGAGGGUCCAACAAGAAAAAAAGUAAAAGUUGUGUUCAUAUCCUGUACUUGCUUUAAGUCAAAUAUAUCAAAUACACAUCAUGUUUUUACGAAACAAGUCCCUUUCUUCAAUUCAAUUGAUUAAAAGAGCGUUUUUUAAUAGAAUAAGUAAUACGUGUGCUGUUUUAAUUUUUAUGAGUAGUAAGGUGCUCAGUACAUGACUAAGUACGCAAAAAAGAUAUUUGUAUAUAAUACUAAGGGAGAUGAAAGUGGUAGGUGGGGGAGUAGGGGUAAAGACAAAGUUUGUUGGAAGGUAGAAAAGACACAAUAAUGCGAAAUGCAACCUGUGAAAUUUAUUUUCCUACUUUCAUUAGGAAAGUCUCUUUACUUAAUUCUAACAAAUUUAUUUUCUUAAAGCGAAUAUUUUUUAAAUAUUUUAAUCAAUCGAAAAUGAAAAAAUAUCUGGACACACUCUUAUUCUAUAUUUAUCAAUAUAGCCCAGUGCCUCCCGUAAGAUUUUUAGCUUAUGUCAGUCGAUGAAGACAAAAUUCAACAAAUUCUAGAAUAUUUUUGUGGCUUACCAUAUUCCUCAAAUGACUCUUUUUCGAUAGUAAAGUUUAAUUAUCACUUAAGAAAUACCAACUUUGUUCGUUUUGCUUUCAAAAUUCAAUAACAAAAAGAAACUCCAAAAGCUUCCCUAUUCUGAGUAGUGGGAAGGUACAAAAAGAGAAUGCACUAAAUCAAAAACAAAUUAGUAGAGUGCCUUUAUUAACUUUGAACACAGGCCGACGACCAAAUUAAAAGAUGUGCCCUUGAUCUGCCUUCACAAACAUUAUUACCUCUGUCAUUUCCACUCAACUAUUAUAUAUACUACUUAUAAUAUAAUGUCUUGGAGAUGUGCCAUGUAUGACUCCUUUUUUACAUUGUAAUAAUGCUUGGGAAGAACUUAUUUAUUUACUCUUAAUAUGAAGUUAUUUGACUAUUCAAAUAGUUAGUGGACCAUGUUAACGUAUAUGAUGUCUAUAGAUUCAUAGGUUUUCUUCAGUUUCUUCACACAGGUUUUUUUUUUUUUCUUCUUUUCUCUGCAUUGUUUCAAGAACACACAACGAAGUAUGUGACCGAAAUUUUUUCUAUCUGUUCAUUACAGUUUACAGACACUUUUUAUACAUAGAUUCUGUUUAGUUACUGGUUCCGAACACGGUAAUCAACCUGUGUCAUGCAAAGAUCACUUGUGGUACUGAGCUUCGGUGUUGAUCCCAUUGCAUUGCCCAGACAAAAAACUGUAGUUCCACAAGUGGAGUCCGAGGCAAAUUCUAUUCUAUGCAAGCUUCUUUAGGAGAUUUAAGGACUCCAAAACAUUAACACCUAUGCAUCUAAUAGAAGGGUUGAAGAGAUACAAUGCCAGAUUUACAUCGAAACAAUCAGGCCAAAAACAGAUAUUGUUGUCUUCCAUCCGGCACACACUAGUUUUAGCAAUCUAAUUACAGUUAGAAGCCACUACAACACUGGACAUUGGCUAGAGAUCGACAAAAAUUAUCAGUGCCUGCAAAGUUAAGAACUUUUGGACCAGGAAAGAAGCUGCCUAGAACAAAUAGUUACAGCUGUCUUGGAGAAUGUUCCACAAGUACUUCUACACGCUCUACAUUUCCAUGACUGUCAGGUGCUGAUGUUAGGGCUCCGUUCUCAACUGUCGGUUGAGCAGCUGCAGUUACCUCAGUGCUUGGACCAGCAUCCUCUGUACGCACAGGACGGAGAAAACCUUGCAAUCUUAGCAGAUAGCUCUGGCUAGAAGGUUGGGAUCUUACAUACCGGGCUGCUGUCACAACGUUGGUUGAUGGCCUCUCUGGAUCAGCUCGGAUAUUUGAUAAAGCACUGAGAUCAAGAUUUGGAAAAACAGAACAACGGCAUCUAGGGCAUUUCACGUUUAGGCGAAGCCAUUCAUCAAUACAUGCAACAUGGAAGUUGUGAGCACAAGGCAGACCACGGACCUGCAAAAAACGUUUUCUAAUAAGAAGAAUGGCAGCAGGGUCUGAAUAAGGACAGCACGGACAUAACCAGUGUGACAGUUGUGGUGUUGGCUUCUAGCUAACCAACCUCCUCCGACAACACAAGAAAAAGAGGGAAAAUAGAGAGAACAAAUUACAAAACAGGAACAAUGUCCUAAUCCCGCUUAACUAGACCCAAUCACGCUUAACUAGAAUUAGCAUGAAUUUGAUCUCUCGAGCUAUCUUUCAAUAAGUUAAGUAUCUUGAAAGGAUUCCGAGAUAUAAAAUUAUCCGCUUCGCUAAGCAGCAGAAACCUGAAGUCUAUAAAUAGCAGCUAUAACCUUAAAACAACACCAGAAUAAGUCUUUCUCAUUUCUUUCUCUUUCUCAGUAUUUAAGCACAAAAGGGGAAUCCUAAAUUUUCUUCAAUAAUAAUGAGAAGUAAAGUUAACAAAAGAGCAGAUACCUCAUUUCCCACAACAAACUCUUCCAAACAGAUAGGGCACUCACUGCAGUCAGUUGGAACAGCCUUCAUCCUGAACAUUGGAAGUUCUUGAAUGAGUGCCUCCACUGCUUCUCUCUAUGUGCCAAAAAGAAAAUUCACCAGUUAAGACUCUUUUAAUUCACCAGGUGUAGCAAGGGAUUCAUAUUGAGGUGUGCCUUGAGCUGUUGACAAUAAGUUUUCAGUCAUUACCUGAGCAUGGCUCAAAUAAAGUCCUGGAUGGUAUGAUGUAGCAUCUUGGCCCAUCCCUCUCAUCUCCUGCCCAGCAGCUUCAAAUGCCCAAUCUGGCACUCUGAUCAUGUCAACUAACACCUGUAAUAAGAAAAAUUGUAACCUUGUGGAGUAAACCAAAAUAGCUUAUACCAUCAAAACCAAAUUACAUCAUAACAUGAAGCACAGGACUCUAAAAACUUCUUAAAAACUAGAAGUCAUAGAGUGUUUUCACACUAGUGGCCCAAUAAAGGACAACACAUUAACCAUCAUGAUUAUUCCAUUAUAGUUGUUUGACAUCCACUUCUGAUGACACAGAGCAGAUAAGUAACAACAACAUACCCAGUGUAGUCAAAUAGGUGGGGUCUGGCAAGGGUAGAGUGUACUCUACCCGCAGAUCUUACCCCUACCUCGUGGAGGUAGAGAGGUUGCUUCCGGAAUAGUCUCAGUUCAAGUAACGCAACAUCAACGCAGUAUGAAAAAGAAAAGUAUAGAAGUAAGGAGGACAUAGCAAAGAAUAGAUAAAGUAUUAUAUAGCAUUCAGAAAACAAGGAGCAGCAGAUUAGUCGAACCAAAUUAUCGACGGAGAUCACCCAGAGAGAAACUGUUACACAACUCUUACUUCCUAAAAGACGACAAAACAAAAUUAGAUUGUUUGACAGAGAGGAUACAUGCAGCAACUCCAACCACCUUGGAAUUGAAGCAAAGUUGAUUGGUUCAUUGCUUGACGCCAAUAGCAAUAUAUGUGGCACUAUAACACAGAAAAAUAUUGCAUUUAACACACUUUAACUAUACUUCCAAAUUGAUUUUUCUUUUAACCUUUGUGUUUAGGUUGGCCUGCGCGCACCUCGACUAACUCCACGGGUUGCCUGGUAUCUUCCACCAACACAAGUACAAAGUAACUCUGUCCACUAAGACUUGGGCAUAUUAGAAAAAAUCACCUAGUGUUUUGCCCGUCACUGGGAUUACACCCGAGACCUCAUUGUUCUCAACGCACUUCAUAGACAACUAUGCCACCCUUUUGGUGCAAAAAUUGUUACAGAUCAAGUUGUGCAUUAUUGUUCUAUUUUUCAAAAAAGGAACAAGAAGAGCUAGAGUAUUCCUUAUAAAUUCACUUUAGAAAUUAUUGGAGAGCCCUGGAUACUUAAUGAAGUGGUCAUUUAAACCUUAAACCAGACUAUUAGUUGAACUUGUACAUGACAUAUUAAUCAAGAAAAAUCUUGUCCAUCAUGAUUAACAAGAUCAACAAAACCUCAAAAUACCACCGAAAAAGAGAGAUAAAAAGAAACUGAAUAUACUAGUAGAGACAAAUAAGUAUGGAACUUAUCCUCGUGUUUUGGCUUGUUAAGAGAGCUUUCCCGGUGAUGAAGUUAAGACGAUUUACGGAAUUGAAUGGAUGAUAAGCUUUUAAGUAGUUGUUGGUGCCUUUUAUAGAAAAAGAAGUAUCUAAUACUAUAUCCAAUGAGGCUAUAAUGAACAAAACAACAACAACAUACCCAGUAAAAUCCCACAAGAGGCUAUUAUGAAUACAUUUCAAAUAUGAAAACUCAUCAAGGAGUUAUAGUAGUUUACUUGAUUUAUGUUUUAAUUUACGAAUAUGCUUUAAAUAGUUUUUUAUUAAUAUAAUGUUAUUGUAUCAAUUAUUCAUUUGCUUAUUUUUCUAAAUGUCGACACCGCUUACAAAAAAUCCUGCGACGCCACUAUCCAUUAGCACUAAUGUGAGUUGUAUGUAGGAUGAGAAAUAAGAGAGCUUCUGACGAAAAAGAGCAUUAUUUGUACAUUUGUGGAGUAGCCUCUUCUUUUAAUGUUCUCCUGAUGCAUCUAUGACAUUCCUACUUAAAUAAAUGGAUUGAGUAUCCUCCACACUGCACAGAGAAUUGUAUCUUUUUGUAGGAUCUCUACCUUUUGAUAUACUUCUUGAAUACGGAAAUGUCCGAUUAUUAGUAAAGUUACACUUUACUUAAUCAAAAGAAAUAGCAACUUUCUGACUAGCAGUUUGAAAGCAUGACUACUUUAGCAUGGAGAGAUAGCAAAGAUACCAUCAAUUUAAAGUUAUUAUACAAUAAAGGAAACAAAGUCAACGGUCAAAGGAAAUAUAUACAUACAUAUGUCAAAAUACAUUAAAUCAAGUAUAUUUUGGGUUGUAACGCUUACCCCAAAUUCUGAAAUAGGAAUUCCUUGUUGAGCGCGUAAUAAAUGGGCUUGCCUUCUAGCUAACCACUGCAAUAAGAAAUUGAAAAACUUAAGGAAAGUUGUAACACUGAAGUCAAUAAAAUUGCAUAAUUGUCAAUUUGUCAUUUAUUGGAUUAUAUAAAGCCGUUACAGACAAUGUAACGCCAAAACAACAUCGGUAUUGGGGAUGUUCUCCCACCCUCCAAAAUAGAUAAGAAACCAUCACACCUGCCACGAAAAGAAUCAGGAGACCGACAUUCUAUUUUCUGUCCGUUACAGAUAGGUAUCCUUCUUUUAAGUUCCUCUUUUACGGAUUCAUUACUUUUACUCUCUUUUUUCUUUCAAGAGGUGGACACAGG